UUCAUCACUACACACUUCUCAUUUUGCAAACAAUCAAAAUCCCCUAAAACUAAGAAAAAUGGCUGGUCUAAUGAAAUUGGCAUGCUUGGUCUUGGCCUGCAUGAUUGUGGCCGGUCCAAUCACAACGAACGCGGCUCUAAGCUGUGGAACCGUUAGCGGUAACUUGGCAGCAUGCAUUGGCUACUUAACCCAAAAUGGGCCCCUUCCCAGAGGGUGCUGCACCGGCGUUACUAAUCUAAACAACAUGGCCCGUACAACCCCGGACCGUCAGCAAGCUUGCCGUUGUCUUGUAGGAGCCGCUAACUCCUUCCCUACUCUCAACGCUGCCCGAGCUGCUGGACUUCCUAAGGCAUGUGGAGUCAAUAUUCCUUACAAAAUCAGCAAAAGCACCAACUGCAACAGGUAUGUCGUAAUCUCUCUCUGAUAUAUAUGAAAAUUAAAGGUUAUUUUAGAACAAGAAGUAUAUAACAAACAUUAUUAUGAUGAUUUACAUUUUAAGAUUAUUUUAUUGUUAAAUAAAAAGUAUAAGUUUUUUAAUAACUGUUUACUUCCCGGUUUAACCAUGUUCUAAUGGAAGUUUUGAGUUUUAUACCGAUGAAUAUAAAUUAAAAGUUUCUUUUGUUUGAAUGCAUAUUAUAGUACAAUAUAACAAUGUAAUGUUUAUUUGUAUGUGGUUGCAGCGUUAGAUGAGCGGCGGUCGGAUGAAGAAACUCAAGCGGACGUACGAAUCUAAUAUAAUGUAUGAGAGAGUACUAAAUAAGAUGUUGUUUUUCUAGUGUUUUAAAAUUUCAUGUUUCUCUUCUGUUGUGUCGUUCCUUUACUUUGGUUGUAUGUACUAUGUUCGUAAUCAACGUCCGCUAUAUGAAGUUCAUAUCCAAGGUUUACGUUAUUCUAUAUUCUUAAUUACUAAAACAAAGUUUAGUUAGUUUCACUGAUAUGAAAAAUUAAUAAUUAAACAUUAAAGAAAUAAAAUAAUCACUAAUAUGCAAUGCAGUUGAGAAGGAACGGAACAUUUUAAUUUAAAGAAAAUGAAGUAACGGGACAUUCUUAAAGUAUCCUGUUUAUACUUGAGAAUUAAUAUAGUUGAGAGAGAAUGAUGGACUGCUUUAAGGAACCAUGGCAUCCCCUGAAUUUAGGGCCCUACUUUUUUUUGUCGUCAAGUAGGGUUGUAUUAAAUAUGUGGUGUCUUUUUAAAAAAAAGAAUUGAGCUAGAUUUUAGACUCAUGACAUAAGAUGGCGAUUUGGAUUUUGGACAACCAAAUAGAAUGCACACUUAGAAUAAGAUUUCUAUUGAAUUUUUUUGUCAUCUUUUCAUCCUUGAUCGCUAAUUUUUUUUCAAAUAUACCGUCUUUUGAAAUGUUUCUAGAGAAAGAGAAAAUGUCAAAAUUCUACCAAAAGUCUAGACACGCAUCUGAUUGCCUUCUUAGUGUUAACGGCUAAUUACAGUUUUUUUUUUUCUGGUAAUGGUACUUAAAUAAGGAUAAAGGGAAUUUCAAUAUUUCAAGGACUCUCAAUUUUACAACAGAAAAUAGCAAACUUUGACAAAAACGAGAUAGAUUAGCAAAAUACUAUGUGUUUAGCAUAUUUUGCAAAAUAUUUCUUUGAUCCACCACAAAAAGGUCUUACAAGGUUAAUUAACAUCUACAGUUUGCAAAGAAGGUUAGACCUAUUUUUCGACAAUGAAUAGAGGUUGAAACUCUUAUGUGUGUUUUCUUGUUAUAUUAAGAGUACAUAAGUUUUUUUUUUGUUGGUCAAAAUGUUAAAAGAGUACAUCUGUGUUCUCAAGUGCAAUUCUAUAGUCUUAUAGGAGUGAAACAAAAACGAGAUAGAUAAGCAAAAUAUGUGUUUCGCAUAGUUUGCAAAAUAUGUGUUUCGCAUAGUUUGCAAAAUAUUUCUUUGAUCCACCACGAAAAGGAGGCGAAAAUAAGUGUAUUCGUAGAGGGUUAAUUUACCCUACAGAGUUAUAUAAAUUAGUUUAAUUUUUAUUAAAUACUUAAACUUGACUCCAUCAAAACAUAAAUAUGACCUCUAUCAAAUUUAAGUUCAAACGAAGUCCGACAAUAUCGUGAAAGUUCUUCAAUUUUCAACCAAUUUAUCAUGAUCCCAGCAUGUAAUUUGUAUGGCUCCGCAGAAAAUACAAUUGUUGGAAUUGGAACUGAGAGUUUACUAUACUUUUUUAUAUUAUUUUGUUUUCGUGUUGGGCCGAUCAUCUCAUUAACAAGCUUUCACGUGAGUAUUUUGCUGAAUCCGCCAAUCAUUAUAUUUUAAAUCUGCUCAAUCUUAUUAGCGGAUGAUUAGUUUGGCACGAGCUAUCGAUCUCAUAUGAUUCUUGAACACAUAAUGCUACAAUAUAUAAAAUAUAUACUAUUUAAUUAUUUUAUACAAAUAACUAUUUUUAUCCGAUAUAGUUUAAAAAGUCACAGAAAAGGAGUACAUGUACGUUGAUAAAAGGGAAAAAAUGUAUUUUUGGUUUCACUUUUCAGAAAAUAAAAUUAAAUAAAAUGUCAAUCAAAGCAGAUGAGAGGUAAAUAGGUGCUCUACAUUAAAUGUAACCAACGGCCAACUAACUAAUCCUUUCUUCUAAUCGCAUUCACAUUCUCAAAACAUAAACUUUCAUUCUCUAUAUAAACACUGACUCCCUCAACUCUCUUCACCACCCAAAUAUCUUACUUGUUUACAUCUUCUUUUGCAAACCAACAGAAACACUAAUAGAAAAAUGGCCGGUGUAAUGAAGUUGGUAUGCUUGGUCUUGGCCUGCAUGAUUGUGGCAGGUCCGAUCACAGCGAACGCAGCUCUGACCUGUGGCACCGUUAACAGCAACGUGGCACCGUGCAUUGGCUACAUAACCCAAGGUGGACCCCUUCCCGGAGCGUGCUGCACCGGUGUUAGUAAACUUAACAGCAUGGCCCGUACAACCCCGGACCGUCAGCAAGCUUGUCGUUGCCUUAAAACUGCUGCUAGCGCCUUAGGCCCUAGUCUCAACGCUGGCCGUGCAGCUGGAAUUCCCAAGGCAUGUGGAGUCAGUGUUCCUUUCCCAAUCAGCACCAACACCAACUGCAACAGGUACGUAUAUUAAUUUGAUGAACCUCUCACACUCGCUCUUGAACUCUUAUAUUAACGGUUUUAUGUUUUAAUAAUUUUUUAAUGUUAAGAAAAUAUUCCCGGUCUAACAAUGUUAUAAAGGAAAUUUUGAGUUCUUAAAUGAUUCAACAAGUGUACGUAAAAAGGUUUUUUUAGUAGAAAUUUGAGGUUCUCUUAUACUAUAUUAACGAUGUUAUGUUUGAUUGGGCGUGGUUGCAGCGUGAAAUGAGCGACAGUGUGAUGAAGCUUCAGGGGACGUUUCGAAUAUUAUAAUAUGGAUCAGAAUAUUAAAUAAGAUAUGUUCGAAUGCAUGUUUUAAAAAUGUUUUAUAAUUUCCUUCUUUUUUAUUUUAAUAUGGUGAUCCUAUAUUCCUAUGAACUGGUCGUUUGUACUAUGUUAUCGAACAACGUUAUAUGAAAUUCAGAUUUGAAGUUUAUAUUCUUCCGUGUUGUACCGCCUCUUCACGAAGCCUUAAUAUAUAAACAAAGAAAAAGUAAUGGGAUAUUCUCAAAUGUUAACUGUAAACUACAGUUUUAUUAUCAAUCAUUUGAAAAAAAACAAGAAGAUAAAACUAAGCUAUGGACGUAUACAUGUCAAAAAAUUCGUAUUUGAAGUGUUUUUGUAUUUGGAGACUUUUAUGUGGAGAUCCAUGGCAUGUUGAGGAAAGCAAAGAAGUAUCGUUCUGGUGUUUUAUCGGCCGAUCAAGUCCGCAGCAGGACAACGUACGUCGACAAAAUGUUCAUCGGUCAGAUAACCUAUGCGUGGAUUAGUAACUUUCUAUUUUCAAAGGCACUUACUACCUUCAAAAUAAGAAUUACCUUGUCUAAAAUCUUGAAAGUUCCCGAUAAGAUGUAGUGAUUUGUACUAGUAAAAGUAAAACAUACAUAUUUAAACAUACAUAAGAGUAGAAAUAUAUGUGGAGUGACGAAGUGACGGCCAUGUAAACCAAAGCUAAUUAAUUGCAUGGUAGGCAAUCGACAGUGAUACAAUUCUACCAAUUUGUCCUGCCAUUUAAUUUAUCAUGCAUCAGUCUUCUCUUUCACAUAAUGACGAACCUUUUACAUACACUCCAUGGUUUGGGAGGACAGACAAACCAACAUCUUCUCGUGUGUAUCCGUCCCGAGAAAAAACAUAAAUAUUUAUUAUUGAGUAUUUAUUAUUAAUUUUUUAAUUUAUUUGUUUUUUUUAAUUUAUUUAGAGAUCACAUAAAAGAUUUACUACAAUACUCAAAAAAAUCUCCAAUAUUUAGGUUGAAUUAACAGAAAAAAUCACGUUUGAUAAAUUUCAAAGUUUUUCAUUUAAAAUAAAACUUCUUUGUAAAAAUUGCCAUGCAACCUAAAUGAAGAGCAUAUUAUUGAAAGCAUGAGAAUGCAACAUAUGAAACCUUAAUGAUAAUUACGUACCCGUGUCAAAGAAAAUUACAGGCAAUGAGGUGUUUGGUGUAUCUGCAUUUCUCAGUCACCAUCACAGAGAAUUUUGUUAAUUACUCCCUCUUCGUAAUUAAUUACUCCCUCUUCGUAAUAAGCUUCACUUUAUGCUUUUGCAAGCUGUAAUUAAUUACUCCCUCUUCGUAAUAAGCUUUAUUUUAACCUUUUUUUUUCUUGUUAUAAAAAAAAUAUCACUUUACAAUUCAAUGCAAAUCAUAUAUACUUUCAGCUGAAAAUUAAUUAAAAAUUGCAUUAAUUUUGUAAAUAAUUUUAUUUAUUUCAAAUACUAUUAGUAAUAGAAAUAUAAUUAAUAACAACUUACAUUUAUGUCACUUUUUAAUUUAUGUGAAAAAUGUACGAUACUUAUUUAUAAACGGAGGGAGUAUUAUGAUUGGUAGAUAGAUGGUAGUCUAAUGAUAUGUUUAAUUUAGUUUUGUAUACUUAUUAAAUAUGUAAAAAUUACCGGAACGAUACCAUGAAUUCGUAAAUAUAGUUAUCAUUUAUCAAAAUAUCUAAAAUUGAUUCUUCUACUUUACCAAAAAGAUACUGACACUCUCACUCUUCUUCUGCCAAAAAGAAACUGAAAUGUUGUCGAGGUUCCAGUUGGUUUAAAUUUUAAAGUGAGAAAGGCUCUACAUUGUUUAGAGAGUCUACUACUUCUGUAAAAGUUGUCCAAGCCCAUCGAUAUACUCAGGUAUUUUCCAAAAACCACGACGUCGUCGUUUAAUUCAUCUUCUUUGCUUCCUAGUUGAACUAUACACAGCUCUCAUUGUUGAGGUGGGGAAAGAGAAGAGUGAUCUAGAUGGUGGUGAUGAUACAUAUCAGGAAGCAUGGAAGCAAUCUCGUAUUUUAAAGAGCAGGUGUCAAAGGUGCAGAGCUUGUCAUCGGAGCAAUACACACACUGUUAACUCCCAAAAAGCAAUGACAAUCUUGAAAGAUACUUCUGAACAACUUAGGAUUCAAAGAAACAAAUCAUAAGUGAGAGCUGAUAUCCCCCAAAUAGUUCCUGCUUCAUUACAACCACAAAUGUUACUUUUUUCUCUAAAGCUAAUCCUACACAAACAAAUGAUGAGUAGAUUCAAUCAGACCAAUUUUGUGCCAAAAAGAACCAGAUUAAUAUUUGAUAGUACAAACUGGAGUGGGCCGAUCAAUAUAAGCACUAUCAAUAUAAUACACUAUAUUGACUGAUCAAUAUAAGCACUAUCUUGACUGGCAAAUGCUUAGCAAAUCAAAUACACAAUGAACAUAUUGGUAACAAAGCAAUAUAUAACUUAAACUGCUAGUAUAUAUACUCCUCUUCCUUUGGAAAGCCGUUGCUUGCUUUAAUUUUUGCUAAGCAUUUGCAACUUGCAAGUCAAGAUAAUGCUUAUAUUGAUCGACCCCGUUGCACCGACCAAAACAGUUCUGCUAACUUCUAUCAGCUCAGCGUUAUGGGCCUUUCGUGAACACAAACUCUAUCAGCAGAAACAUAAAACACACAUAAAUAUAUUUAAGCGUUUUAUACAAAGAAUGUAUCACUCACGUAAAGAAUUUGGAGAUUCUCUUUAUCUUGUUGCUUAACGAAAAGCUUUAUGUUGAAUUUUUUUAUGAAAUCAACUUUCUUGUUUCGGUUAAGCAUGUGAUUGAAGGACGUGGGAACCGUCCCAUCUUUGACUGAUAGAAUUUUCAAGGGAACAUGUCUUGUAGCUCUCGUGAAAACAUUAUCCGAAGGUAUUUAGGGUUUCCAAAGGCCCAUCUCAGCUUUGAUUGGUAAUAAACAAUAGCCUAGUAAUAUAUUAUGGCCUCGAUAUAAAGCUUAAUGAUUAAUGAAUAAAUCCUCCUGUACAUUAAAAGAGAAGUGACUUCAGUGGUUUCUACUGACGUGGUAAUCACAUAGAGCUUCUCAGAAAAAUUCUUAUAAUUCUAUUGGUUGAUUUUUUCGAAUUUUCUUCUUCUUUUUUAUUCAAUCGCGCAUCAGAUAAGUUUGAAACCGAUAAAGACGGUCCGAACAGAUGAGUUUGCUUCUCGACACUCUGAAGACUCAAUCAGAUCAAUGGCAGCAAGGAGCGACGAGUAGAUGAGUUUCCUUCUCUCCACCAUCGAUCAGAUCGAUGAGGUGAAGUUUGUCGAUACUCUGUUAAUAUACAGAGUUUUUGGUUUCUCUGAUUGGGUUCGAUAGCGAUUAUCGCCAGCUGAGAUUGAAUUGAAAUUUACUCUCGAACCGAUUUAAUUUGUAAGAUAGAAACUACGAUCUGCUUAUUAAUAUUUUGAUACUUUGUAUCUAAUUGAGUGAUUAACCUGCAGAGAUCAAAAGGUUGAAGAAGCUACAUACAUAAUCGUUAAACAACUUCGUUAACCAGGUAUUAUUAACUUUUGAAGUAAAAUGAAAUAGCCAAUAUGCAUAAGCCACGUAUGGGGUGUUUACCAAUCCUACAUUCUCUUAUUUAGACAGCGGUUGUGUCAAAUUAUAUCAUUUUUGAUUUAUUUUUUUCCUUUUUCCUCUUUAGAACCUCAACUAAAAUCCACCGUUGGAAGUGGUCUUAGCUCUAAACAAAUAUUAUAAAAUAAUCAAGACUAGUUCUACUAAUCACCAACCAAGUAAAGGAGGAGUCAACGAGGGAUCAUUUGAUUAUACAAUAUUAUAUGCCUAAGCUAGGUUCAUGUGGUUAGCUCUAAGCUAUUAUAAAAUAACACAAUCCAAAUCAACAACGUGAUCAUGGCUAAAUCUAAUCAUUAAAAGUGACUUAUAUCAAUGUCAAUAGUAACAUCAACAGAGAGAUUAGCUGCCAUCAAGGCUCUGGAAGCAAUGAAAUCAGAGACAAACCUCUCCAUGAACCUGAAGAUAGAAGAGAACGAUUGAAUCAAAUAAGAUGAGACUGAGAUUGGAUCAAAUAAGAUGAGACUGAAACAGAAAACAGAUCAUCAGGAUUCAGAAUCAGAAUAAUCACCCUUGGGGAAGCUCCUCGAGUUAUCGCUCGCAAACUCAACGAUGUCUCCAGCCAUGUAUCUCUUCCACAGAUCGUUGAUCUUAGUAUCAAGAGUCUGUUUGUUCACCAUCGUUUCUUUUCUUCUGGUUCUUAGAGAAAGAGUGAGAGAGCAGGAGAAUAGAACGUUGGAUCAGAUUCCAAUCUGGCUUCUUCAACCAUUAGAAACUUCUCUUUAGUCUUCAGAAGCUCCUCUUCAGACAUAAAGAGCUGUGGGCAACAAGAGUUCAAGUACUGAACGUAGCUGAACUAGUCACAAAUUCAUAAUAACAUACAUAAUAACAUCUAGCGAUCGAUUAGAUAUACCAAAUCGUGUGAAUCAGAGUGACUUACAUUAGCGAUGUCAGCAGCAACAGGGAGGUUAGCAUUCAUCAACGCUCUUAAACCAAGAAAAUCAUCCACGAAGAUUCCGUGAACCUGCAAAAUAAGAGAUAGAGAGAAUCUGUAUCAAAUAAGAUGAAAGACUGAAACAGGAAACAAGAGAAUCAUCAGGACUUAGAAUAAUCACCCUAGACAAAGCAUUGACUGAUAAGUACGAUCUGAAUGUAUCUCACAUGUGGACAAUCUUUGUAAUUUAUUUUCGACAUAAAUGUUGACAUUAGACAAUGGUAAAGUGCAGCUAGAAGGGAACAUAAAAGUUUAUAGCAUAUCCAUUGAUAAUUUGGAAUUGCUUUGUAAAGAGUUGUUUUAUACAUUUGCAGUAUAUAGGUAAAACAUUAAACUUCUUGUUUUUGUUUUGUUUUGUUUUCUUUGUACUCAACAUCAAACUUUCAUAACCGACAAAUAGCAGGCUUAUCACCAGCCUCAACAACGACUCCUUUUGCUGAACACAAAAGUUACAUCAAUAAUUGACUGAACUUAUGUACUAUCAAGGCGAAGAAAAAAAAACUGACAGCAAAACUUGGCUCGUUCUUGUGUAACAUAUAAGAAAAACACAUGCAUAAAUUACACAAUAACAGAAAAGAACUAAUAUUACUUACAAAGCUUAAAAAAAAGAAAAUUCAAUAAGAUCUAAACAUUUGGUCGAGAAUGAUGGUAAAUGCCAUGGCCACAUGAGGCUCCAUCUCCGAUUCAACUAUUAGUUUAAAAACAUCUUUUCCAAAGGCAACUCCUCCGACCAUUGCCUCUUUCCUCUUGAUCUCAGCUGCUUUCUUCUUGUUCCUCCUCUCGUCCAAUAUUUUGCAGCUUCUUUGGCCGAAUGAUCCUUCUAUCUCGUAUAGUAAUGUCUUCUUGGUGCUAACCCACGCCAAGCUCCUCCGGUUUGUCAUUAUACUAACGUUUUUUCUCGCUGUGAAUAUUGGGUCUCUUUGUGUUUCUCCAUCGUAUACCAUCCAGCAAUCUCCCAGGCUCAGUUUCUAAUCAAAUAGGUUAAAAAAAGGAAAAUUCAAGAGUUAGUUCCAUAAUAACAUGGUUAUAUAAAACAAACAUUCAUGUAAAGAUUCAUUAUGUGAAUCUGUCAUGUACUUAUAAUGGUUGACCAUUGUGGAUGUUUUAAAUAACAAGGUUAUUUGGCUCAAUACUUAAUACUUUUUUUAACGCUGAUUUAUUUUGCUAUUGCAAAUUGUGAGAAUUAUUACAUAGACAAGUUUAACAACUGACAAUUAUUUGGUUCAAGACUUUGGUUAUCAAAAAGAAUAUAGAAACAAAGAGAGAACAUGUACCUUGCGCCGGAUAGAGAGUAGGGGUAAGCCAUAAGCGUCCAUAAGGACGAUGUUGUCUUUAGAAGAGUUCAUGUAGUUGUCAACCCUAAAGACAAGAUCUCCAUUAGAGUUGUAAACUGUGAAUCCAUCACAGUUGAAGAGAAGGGACUUCUUCCACACCGUCAAAACUGCGGCUGCUUUACUAUCACACAAGCUCUCCUCGCAAGUGUUUGGGAGCUUUGGGUGAACUUUUGUCAUCUCUUUUCUUUGUUUCUGUCUUGUUUUCGUUUGGUGAGGUUUGAUGAUUGUUGUUGGAGUAGAUGAGCUGAUCUUUGUUUGUUGGACAAAUGAGAAGAGGUCGUUGCGUGUUUAUAAAUACUAUUGUAGAAAGUGAGAAAGAAUGUGAUGCUUAAAUGAAAAGAAUGGUGUCAUCUUCUUGUUGUCCACUAGAGAGAUAUCGUUGUCAGUCUAUUACUAUAAGAUAUCUACUAGUCGCAAAUUUAGGUACUUGUUAAAAAUAUAUAUAUAUAAAUUAAUUGAUUCCUUUCAAUAAACAAAUAUUAUUAAUUGUUUAUCAAUACUUAAAAAAUUAACGUAUCAUUUAAUCUCACCUAAACUCCAGCAAAAUAUCAUUUAGCAACCUUGUAUUUUGUCCCUGCAAAAUAACGUAUGGUUUCACACGUAUUAUAUGCUGCUGAUAUUUAAUCUAACGCUCUAGUUAUAUAUAAAAGAAAAUAAUUCAUAAAUAACUCUAGUUUCUAAUUCAUUUGGCCGAUAUUUUAGAGAACUUUACAAAAUGAACCGAUUAAUAAAUAUUGUUGGUAACUGCAUGGCGUUUUUAAGUAUUGAUAAACUAAGUAAUUUGUUCAAGGCAAAUCUAAAAAUACGUUUAAAAUAUGUUCUUAUCAUCAUUUAUUAACGAUUAUUUCAUGCAUCUUAUUUUCUCUUCUAUAUACGUUUUUAUAAUUUAUAGAAAAAUAUAAUUUACACGUCAAACAUUUGUCAAAUCUUUCUCUCUAUAUUUGUGUGUACAUUUUUGUUAUGAUCACUGAUAGAGAAUAUUAUUGUCUCAAAAGAAAGGAAAAGAAUCUAUACCAUGAAAAACCUACGGGCCAUAAUCCAUCGCCAUUUCGAGUGCAUCUUUUUACAAUGAAAAGACGAGUUUCUAUAUGAAAUAUACUUCCAACUUUUUGCAUUAAUAAGUAUUUCUGCUGGAUUAACGCAUUAUUCUCGAAAAAUUGAACCCAUAGGCCAAAGUAAUAUAUGAUAUAUCUUCUCUAUGUGGAUCAACUUGUAGCAUGUUCCAAAUCCCAAACCUGGUUAUUGGCUCGAUAAGACCAAUUAUGUUGCAAAUAUCAGAUAAUAUAUAUUUAUUAACAUCAAGCUUUGAAUAAUUACCAGAGACAUUUUGAGCCAAGUGAAAAACAUAAUCUAGUGGGAGGAUAAGAACGGGUGGAAAGCAAAGUUCAAAUAUAUAUAAAUAAACAAAAGGCAAUUUCAAAGUUUCAAACAAGGACAUGACAUAGAAACGAGUUAAGAAAUUGAGUUUUGAACCAAUCCUUGGUUUUAAUAUGAUGUAUGAUGAAUAAUCAAAGCUUAAGAAUAAAAUUAUGUGGCUGAGAAGCGAUUAGCGGUGGGGAAGAGAGAAGACAAAGCCAUCCCAACAAAAUUCCACCAAUUAUUUUACUUAAAAAGUUUAAUAUAAUAUUUUCCUUGUGAUAUUUUUCCCACGUCCAUUGUUAUAACAAAAUGUCCCACUUACGUUGACAUCUCUCUUACAUUUUUGUAUUCCUUUCGUUAUCUAUCGUUUGUUUAUAAACAAAAAGAUUGCGGUUUAUGCGUCAUAUGCACACAAAAAGUGAUUACGACCUUUGAGAGGUAAGACACGUCCCACUUUUCACCAAGUGAUUGAUAACUACGCUCUGAACUUGGAACAAUAUAUGUUUCUCUUUGCUUUCACACUAUGAAUACAACCUAAGUUGUCUCUCCUACUAUUACCAAAUAUUCUGAUUCCUCACCUUGGUAGCUGUACCUUAUUGUGUGUUUUGUAUUAUAUGAUCAUUUUGCAUCCUACUAUCUAGUAAAACUCAAAUCCAUUAUAGAGUCAAUCUAUUUCAAAAGAAAAUAUAGAAUACUACAUUUGAUAUGCUAUAAGUGAAUGUAGGUGUUUGAGCAAAUCUAUGUAACCUGGUAGUAGAUAUCAUGGGAAAUCGGCUAAUUCCUACAUCAACACAGUCCAGCGGUCCCGAUCAGUACAUAAACACAUAAGCUGUGCAAAUACAUACAUGAACACGUAGUUAAUUCAAAUAUCUUACACGAACUAACAAAAUUCGGUUUUUGCAUACAUUAACCAAUUAUCCGUUAGUCAAACGUAACGGAAUCUGAGCUGUCCGUUAUAUACCAUUACGUGGCUUUUUACGUUUUUAAAUAAUGAAUAAAUUAAUAAAAAUAAAAUAAAAGAUGGUUACAAGGGGGAGUCGAACCCUGGUUUGAGAUAUACCAAUCACAAGAAGAAACCAUUGUGCCAGACCCAACCUAUUGUUUAUAGUCCCAGUUGUUUCGUAUUUAUACAAAUAUUUCAUUCACAUAUUUCUUUUUUUUUUCUUUCCAUGUUUGACUUAUCAUCCAAAUUGUUCCAAAACAAAUUCAAAUACUUUUUUGUUCUCUUUCUCCUUUUCUUGUGGAAAAAAUAAUUUUUGUAUAUUCAAAAAAAUAAAAUAAAAUAAUAUAUAUUAUUAAAAAGGAUUACGUACGUUGGAAUUGUCUUCUACCUUUAUUAUCUCUUUGUGAAUUUCUAUUUUUAAAAGAUAAUAUUUACUUUUAAUAAUCAACCCGAUAAACAAAAUUUCAAAUGUCCAUUACAAGCUUAAAUUGAACAAAACAAAACUAAUUCAAAUAUUGCACGUCUAAUUUCGUUCAACUACCACACCGGCGCGUUCCGCUAAACCGAUCUAUAAUCCUUAGUAAAAUCAAUUCCCUUUUUGAACUAGUUCAUUCUCUUGUUGAAAUAUUUAAUAUGCUUUUGUUUAAAUUUUGAGUAAAUUUUUUUUCAGUUUCCAGUAAUUGUAAGAGAACGUUAGAAACAUAAGGGUUUGCAAAUAAACUCAAAUUCAAACAAGAGGAAAUUAAAAAAUUUCAGCAAGAGAACGAUCUUUCGAUCUCUUUCUCACAAAAAUAUAGUAAAGCUAGAAAUAACUUCAAUGUAUAUAUUAUUAUUUUAUUUUUUUGAAUAUAUAAAAAGGUUAUUUCUUCCACAAAAAAAACAAAAAAAUAUUUGAAUAUUUUUUCAUUUUGUUUGGAUGAUAAGUCUAUUUUCUGAACAAUUUGGAUGAUAAGGUCUACCACAAAAAAUAUAUAUAUAUAUAUGUGAAUGAAAUAUCCAUUAGGUAUAAAUGGGAAAUCAUUGGGAGUACAAAUAAUAAGUCUGCCUUGGCACAGUGUUUUAGCAUGUGUUGGAUAUUGCUUAGACCCAGGUUCGAUUCCCCCCUCUAACCAUCUUUUAAUUUUUUUAUUAAUUUAUUCAUUAUUUAAAAAUGUAAAAAGCCACGUAAGCAAUAUAUAACGGACAAUUCAGAUUCCGUUACGUUUGACUAACAGAUAAUUGGUCAAUGUAUGCAAAAACCGAAUUUUGUUAGUUCGUGUAUGAGAUUUGAAUUAACUACGUGUUUAUGUAUGUAUUUGCACAGCUUAUGUGUUUAUGUACUGAUCGUGACCGCUGGACUGUGUUGAUGUAUGAAUUAACCGUUUUCCCGUAGAUAUCAUUCUUAUCGUCUUCUACAUUGGUAAUAAUGAAAAAAACUUGCACAAUGACAAAUGGAAAAUAACGUGAGUAAAAGAAUGAUGGGACACCUCUCUUUACCAAAAAUCAUAUACAACAUCCAAGUUUCUUUUCGAAAUCAUAAUAUCAAAGCUGAUUUUGCAAUCAUCUUCAUCACUGUCUCUUAAAAAAUCAAUUUGCUAAUCAUUUUUUAACCCACUUCUGCUAGCUUCUUCCCCUUUCAGCAUUUCUUCUGCAAUGCAUUCGGGUUUAUUUACCCCCACAAAAAAAUGAGAUGCCACUCUAAAUCUUUUUUUCUUUGCGCGUGUGACUUGCUUCUACAGCAUUGUCCCCGUGUAAUUUCUUCUACUUACUCUCUUUCUCAUCAAGGAUUCACGUUACAGUCACUCAAGAAUCCGUCUUCCCUGUUCAGAUGCUUUCUCCAAUAGCUUUUGUACUGUGGGAUUCCCAUCUCUAGCCACGGCUUCAUGUUCCCAUUGUAGUGCAACGUCGCUGCGUUCUUUAUCGUUUGGGGUUUGAUAUAGUAGUCAUAACCAAGCCCUGAUAGAGCCCAUUUGUCUUCAAGAGCAUAUACUUUGUCUUGAAACGUAAGCAAGCUUGCUUUCAAUGCAAUUGCUUCUCUCGGCUCAGCUCCACCACUCAUCUGCCACACACCAAAACAAGAAAUAAGCAUAACGAAACACCCAAUUUCUCUUUCAGGUUUUUUCAGAAAACUGACCUGUUUGUAAAAUUUAUGGUAUGUUUCUGAGACUCCCAGCUCCCUCCAUCUAGCAAGAUCAAUGACAUUCAAUCCAGACAUCCAGAGACAAGCAUUAGCAUCAAAACUUCCUCUCUUGAGACUCUUUAGCUGACCUAAUCUCACAGAGCACGACUUCACUGCGCCGUUCACUUUUCCUUCCAUAUCAAGCUCCCAAAGAGGAGACAAGUCUCGCUGGACCACAACGUCAUGAUCCAGAACCACAACCUUUUCCAACUUAUGAAAUAUUUUCGGAAGAAGAUAGUGAGAUCGAGAGAAAAUUGAUAAGUAGUCUGCUCUAUUGUCACCACUUGGGAAGGAGACACGGAACUCUGUAGGCAAAGACAGCUUCAUAUCAGACUGAUCAAGCUCCAUUUUCUCAAUGUUCAAGACUUGAAUAGCUGCUUGUUUGCAGGGAUUCCUGAUGAACCAUUGUUUCAUCGCAAAGUAGUUCUGCUCGUCGGUCAGUACAUGGAAAACAAAGUUUUUACUUUCCUGAAACAUCAACAAUCAACCAAGAAUCAGACAUAACAUAAGGGUCCUAUGAUUGCAUGAACAAGAACAAAAACUGGAUUUAACACAUACCCUUGCGUGUACAGCCGUUGAGUUGAUCACAACGGAAGAUGCAAGUAUAUUAUCGGAGAUGAUAACAAAGUGAAGCAACGAGGGAUCUGAAAACUUCUCACUAUCCUCAAUAUCAACUGAGCCUGACUUGAAAUGCUCCACAGUUAGCCUCAUUGACAAGCAAUGAAGACUCUUAGGCAUUGUCUGCACCGCAAGCUGGUAGAGGAACACACUCUGUUUCAUGUGGAAACUUGCUUCAUCCUCAGUCAAAUCCAGGAUCUGUCUCAGUUUCUUGUCAACAUUGUUACAGUCAACCGGAAAAGACUUUGCCUUUGAAAUCACACCUUCCAUCUUCUCAAACUUCUUAUCAACCCUUGUAGAAUAGUGGAAAGAUACACACAAUAAGUAAGAUUUAAGGAAAUUAGCAGAGGAUCUACACAUACCCCAAACUGGUAAAGGACUUACUGUGGUGGAAGGUCACCAUCAGCUGAACUUUCACUAAGAAUACGCUCAAACUCUUGGAUGUUCUGUUUCAUAUCCCGAGUCAGCUUGCUUUGAGAAGGCAUUUUAGCAAUACUUGGGUAGUACGCUCUAGCCACAAAUAGCAGGUCCUUCAUAUGCUUCACCUUGGAAUCUUUCAUCGGUUCCUUAUUUUCCUCCCUCCAGAGACAGUAACUCCCGUAUUUCACUUGACAAGUUCUCUGACUUUCAUCAACACUAACUACCGCCCGCUGAACACCUUUGUACGAGACUUCAGUUUUUGUUUUCUGUUCACAGAAUAAAAAACUUAAGACGAAUUGGUGAUAGUAACCAAGAAAAAAGAUGUAUACUAGAGAAACCACUUAAUACAUUUGCAGGGCUUGGGUUGGCAACAACAGCUGGGGACACUGGUACUCCUGCAGAUUAAUUGAGGGAUCAGAAUCAAAAAUAAAACACUUGGGGAGGAAUUUUUAGAAAAAGUGAACCUUUCUUCUUAGAAUCACUGAUGCUUGUCCUAUUCAUAUCUCUGGAACCACCGUUUAUGUCCCUUUUCUAGCGCAUGUGAAACAAGAGGAAAAUAAAAAAAACUUUAAUUAACCAUCUCAUGAAUACAUGAAGCAACCUAAUUCAUGAAUAUGUAUUUCACCUUUCCAGACACAUAACACAGUCAAAUAAAAUAAAAUUAAAUUCACUCAUUCAUCUAAACUAGUCACUUUUCAUUAUUUCUUACUAAUGUUAGCAUUCACAUGCUUUAUAGUAAGAUCAAACUAGACAAACCACUAUAAAGAACCAACCUUGGGAAGCACUGGGUUGAGUUUUUGAAGAACCUGAUCAACUCUCUCGGAUACAUCUCUCUGCAAGCAAGCUAAACGACUUUUGAAACCAAUCAAAACGACAGAGAGGGAGAGAGUUAAACAAUUUACCUGUGAAUGUUGAGUAGCAUUGAUUCUGCUAAAGCUCUCAUACUGAUUCCAAAAGAAAGUUAGUUAGAACUUAGAACCAAAAAAAAAUAAAAAAUCAAACAAUUAAGGAAACAAAAUGCUUACAGGAGUAGAUGGUUGGAGAGUGACGACGAGGCCUGAAGAUAAUAAACGUAGAGAUUAUCAGAUGAGAAUAGAUCUGAAACAGAGAUCGAAGAGAGAGAGAGAGUUACCAGGAGAGUGGAAGCUGUUGUGAAGGCCGAGCAAGAAAGCUAGAGGAACCAGCAUUGAUAGGAUCACAAGAACCAUUACUCCUAUCACCAGAACUUUCCACCGCCGUUUUCCUCCGCCGCCUCCUCCUCCUCCGCCUUUCAUUUUUUCCGAUUUAGAUUUCAAUCAAUCAAUGCCUUUUUCAAAUUACGAACCGCAUUGGAUCCCUAAAACGACGGCGUUUUAUCUCCUCUGAUACACACUCUCGUUCAAACACUCAAGUGCUGCCACUAUGCCCUGAUCGCAUUUGCGUGUUUGCUUGCUUGUUACUUGGAAGGAAGAAGGAAGAGAGAGAGCACACCCCAACACUUUCCUCGCACGUGUGGAACUGUCUCUGCCGUUUGAUUAUCCCAACCCACUUGCGAGAUCUAUCUCCUGAUCACGACACGUGUUAUUUUCACACGUGUCGUGAGUAUUAUUAUUAUUUAGUUCGUUUUUAAUAGUCUCGCCGGUAAAUCCUAAAACGCCGAGCAGGCCUAGCGAUAUUCAUCACCACCGUCAACGCCAUUGACAGCUUAUACACUUUGGUAAUCUCUCUUCCUCCUCCUCCUCCUCUGUACCAUGUAAAGAGAAUUGAUUGUGAAAGCAUAUGACUUUUUUGGUUUAAUCUACUUUGCGUUAUUUGUUUGUGUGGAUGUAAUGAAGGAGAUGAGCCAUCAAAAGAUUGAGACUUGAUGUUAUCACUCUCUCAUAUGCAUUGUUUAAGCUUUAUCUGUGUAAGAAUCUCUUGUCUUGUAUGGUCUGUCUGUUCUAAUGAGGUUUCUUUCAAUGCUGUUCUGUUUUCUUCAUGUGAUUCAGUGACUGCUACUUUUCAUUUUCGAACAUGUUACUGAUCGCGAGGAAAGCUUUGGGCCUUUAUGUUACUUGUUUGUUCUAAUUAUGAAAGAUUAAGCCUUUAUGUUAUCACUCUCAUGUGCAUUGCUUAAGCUUUAUCUGUCUAAGAUUCUCUUGUCUUGUCUGUUUGUUCUAAUUGGGUUUCAUUUGAUUCAGUGACUACUGCUACUUUUUGCGUUUCGAGCAUGUUAUUAAUCGCGAGGAAAGCUUUGGCCUUGGCGCAUAACAAGACUAUUCGUUUAACGACAAGGGAAGUGCACUGCUUAAGCUCCAUCUUACUCUCUCCUCCUCUUGUGUCUCUUGACUUGCCUGAAAAUUGGGUUCCUUACUCUCAUCCUCCAUCCCCUGUUGCCUUCGGUAACUCUCUCUCUCUCCCUCCCUCCUCUAGUGUAGUGCAUUGACUUCUGCAAUCUUAGUUGUACACCUUUUGUUCUCUGUUUACUACAGAGGGUGAACAGAAGACUGUGGUGAUUGAUGGAAAAUCUAUCGCAGAAGAGAUCAGAACGAAGAUUGUUAGUGAAGUGUGGAAGAUGAAAAACGAUGUUGGCAAAGUCCCUGGUCUUGCGGUUGUGUUGGUCGGCGAACAAAGAGACUCCCAAACUUAUGUGCGGAACAAGAUCAAAGCUUGUGAAGAAACUGGGAUUAAAUCUGUUCUGGCUGAGUUGCCUGAGGAUUGUACAGAAGGAGAAAUCAUCACUGUAUUAAAAAAAUUCAAUGAAGACACAUCUAUUCACGGAGUUCUCGUGCAGCUUCCUUUGCCCCAGGUGUGUUUCACAUUGCUUUUGUGUGUAAUAUGAGUCAUGACAUUGUGAUGGUGGAUGAUGAUAGUAUAUUGUGUGCAGCAUCUUGAUGAAGCAAAGAUAUUGAAUAUGGUGAGGUUAGAGAAAGAUGUUGAUGGGUUUCAUCCAUUAAACAUGGGGAACCUUGCGAUGAGAGGGAGGGAGCCGCUAUUCGUAUCUUGCACCCCUAAGGGAUGUGUGGAGUUGUUGAUCAGAGCAGGUGUUGAGCUAGCAGGAAAAAACGCUGUGGUGAUUGGAAGAAGCAACAUCGUUGGUCUCCCAAUGUCUUUACUAUUGCAGGUAUUAUUAGUUUUUUGCUAGUUACUGUGAUAGGCUUCUUAUGCUUGAGCAUUUAUUUGUCUUUGCUGACAUUAUUGGGUAGAGGUAUGACGCUACAGUAAGCACGGUGCAUGCCUUUUCAAAGGAUCCAGAGCACAUUACCAAGGAAGCUGAUAUUGUGGUUGCAGCCGCGGGUGUGCCUAAUCUUGUUCGUGGAAGUUGGUUGAAGCCUGGUGCAGUUGUCAUCGAUGUGGGGACAUGUCCUGUUGAGGUAUUCUGCUACAUAAAAACUUAGGUUAGAGCCUAAAUAAAGAGACCAAAUGUUUGUUCUUGGGUAUGAUGUUUGGCAGGAUAGUAGCUGUGAGCAAGGUUAUCGUCUUGUUGGGGAUGUAUGCUACGAGGAAGCGUUAGGUGUUGCCUCAGCGAUUACUCCUGUACCUGGAGGAGUCGGUCCCAUGACGAUUGCCAUGUUACUAUGCAAUACCUUGGAUGCUGCGAAGCGGACAUCCUUGUGAUAAAUAUAGCUAUCUCUGUCUUAUAACUAAAGAGUCCAUGUUGUUGGGGGGUUGAUCACAAAUUGACAAUCCCUUUUGAAUUUUGAAUUAUCAUGUUGUUACAGACAAUGGUUGAUGUCUGAUAUAGAGAAGCUCUUUGUCAGAGUAGAGUUUAAUGAUUUUGUUCUAGUAUCUGGUUUCUAGAUAACAGUGGAAUGUUUAUGUUUCAUUGGCGUUUACAAGAUGAGGAAGCCAUGGUAGUUAUGCAUGUGGUAGUUGUUGGAUCAUGAGUAGUAGUAGUUUGCAUGUGACGUCAAAGGUUGAAGAAUGAGUGAAGCAAGAUGUGUCACAUGAAGUAUCACGGAACAAAUGCUUGCUUCAAUCGUUACACGUGAUGUUGAAAGGGGAAUAUUCUAAAGACACUCUUUAAAUCCCUUUAACCCGGUUUGCAAUUUCGGUUUCAUCAGCUGUUAAUUUUUUAUUUAUUUCACUCUUAUCUCUCUCUUUUUCAUCUUCAAGAUAAUUAAAACAAACACAAAGUAACCUAAUCUUGAUUUAGACCACAUUUUCCAUUAAUCUAGUCAUGCCAAAAAAUGUAUUUAGAACACAUUUUGAAAAUCAAUACUCUGACUUAAAAUCUUUGAGUAAUCCAAUUUUAUUAAAAAUACCUUUAUAAUAAAAGAGAACAGCUGUCAAUUAGUGAUGAUUUUCUUAAGUAGAUUUCUAAACACUAAUAUAUUAAUAUUUUAAGAAAUUUUAUUUGUAUGAUUACAAUUUUAGUGUUUUAAAAAGAAAUAAUAAUUACUUAGCUUAAUUACUAGAGAACAACAAAUGGUAUAUCAAUCUAAUCUUUCAGCAUUUUUAUAGAUUCUUCAUAUUCUUACCUUUCUUUUAUUUUUUUCAUUUUUAAUAGUAUUAAAUAUCAUAGAAAAUUAGUACAACUUUUACAAUUACCAGAUUUGGUAACUAAAAUAUUAAUUAUUUACUAUCUAAAUCUGAUUAGGAGCCAAAAAUAGUGUUUUGUCAACCAAACCGAAUAACUUACACCCGAACCGGUUAUUUAUAAUCACCCAACAAGCCCAAACCAUCAAAUUUCAUUUCGGUUUAGCUGCAUCAUCCAUCUCCAGAGAAAGAAAAAAAAAUUAAAAUGCGAAAAGCAUAAAUAGGAUUCCGAUUCCGAGUCUCAAGUUCCAAAGAGAAGAAACAAACAUCUCCUAGAGAUAGCGAUCUCGGCGAACAACGUGAAGGGAAACAAACGACGAUCCGAGAGCGAGAGCGAAAAGCAUUUUCCUCUGAAAACAAAAAUGGUGUGGGAGAAGGAGAAGAUCGUCGGAAGCUGUAUAAUCGGAGGAGCCACGUUCGCCGUCGGAGCUACGUUCCUCCACCUCUUCCUCAAAGGCGAACUUCCUCUAGGCCUAGGGCUAGGCGCGCGUUUGGUCUCGUUCAGAAAGCGGAGGCCCGUUCGCGUCUACAUGGACGGUUGCUUCGACAUGAUGCACUACGGCCACUGCAACGCGCUGCGUCAGGCGCGUGCUCUCGGUGACCAAUUGGUCGUUGGUGUUGUUAGCGACGAAGAGAUCAUAGCUAAUAAAGGACCUCCCGUUACUCCUCUUCAUGAAAGGUCUCUCUCUCUCUCUCUCUAUUGGUUGUUGGUGUUGUUAGCGAUGAAGAGAUCAUAGCUAAUAAAGGACCUCCCGUUACUCCUCUUCAUGAAAGGUCUCUCUCUCGAUCUCAAUUCAUUUGUUAAGGCCGGUCCUGAGAUGGUGAAUAACAAUGUUCAACGAACCGUUAUACAGUACUAGUACUUGGUGUUUUAUAGGGGAUUAUUGAUUAGGCGGGCGCAUAAACAGACUUUUUUGAUGCCCACAUUGAUUUUUAAAGGCCGGUCCUAGAAUUUAAGGGACUUAACAAAUGGUGAAUAACAAUGUUCAAUUAACGGUAUGUAGUAAUUAGGCGUUUUAUAGAAGAUUAUUGAUUAGGCAGGCGCUUAAACGGAAUUUUUUUUAUUUCCACACUGAUUUUUAAAGGCUGGUCUUAGAAUUUAAGGGACUUAACAAAUGGUGAAUAACAAUGUUCAACGAACGGUAUGCAGUAAUUGGACGUUUUAUAGAAGAUUAUUGAUUAGGCAGGCGUUUAAACGGAAUUUUUUUUAUUCCCACACUGAUUUUUAAAGGCUGGUCCUGGAAUUUAAGGGGCGUAACAAAUGGUGACUAACAAUGUUCAACGAACCAGUUUUAUAGGGGAUUAUUGAUUAGGCGGGCGCUUAAACAGAAUUUUUUUAUGCCCACACUGAUUUUUAAAAUAAAUCGUUUUGUCUAGGUUCAAUCUUUGGCCUAAACGGGCAAGUAAACGAAGUCUAGACCAGUUUUUAGAAUACUAAUAAAUAAUGUGUAUAUAUAAGCCGAGACGAGGCGAAUGUUUCAUCUCAUUACGUCCAAAGCUGGCUUUGCCUUGUAUAACAGUGACAAUUACGGAUUAGAACUAAAUGAUCAAUAUAUAUAUGUCUUAAAUAAUUUGGGGGUAAAUGAUGUAUACAUAUUAACCAUAUGGGGCCUAGGCGGAUGUUUCAUCUGGCUAUGACCAAAACCGGCUCUGCCUUGUGUAUUUAGUUGUGUUGUAUGUUUAUUUUUUUUAUAUGGUUAUCUCAGGAUGGUGAUGGUGAAGGCUGUCAAGUGGGUGGAUGAAGUUAUAUCUGAUGCUCCUUACGCCAUCACUGAGGAUUUCAUGAAGAGGUUGUUUGAUGAGUACCAGAUUGAUUACAUCAUCCAUGGGGAUGAUCCUUGCGUUCUUCCUGAUGGAACUGAUGCUUAUGCAUUGGCUAAGAAGGCUGGGAGGUACAAGCAGAUUAAGCGCACUGAAGGAGUUUCGAGCACUGAUAUCGUUGGUAUAACUUACAUUCAUUUUAGCUCGUAUCAGCUGUAUUUGUUCAUCAAUUCAGGAUGCUUAGAGGAAAGUGUCUUUCUUUUCAUGUUAAGGGGAGAUACGAACUGCAUCAUGUUUAUGUAAUCAAGUGCCAUGAUAGCUUAGAUCUUGUGUAAUUACAUUCAAGUUUAUAAAUCUUUGCAGGUCGCAUGCUGCUCUGUGUAAGAGAAAGAUCGAACAGUCAUAGUCAUUCGUCACUGCAAAGGCAGUUUAGCCAUGGACAUAAUAGCCCAAAGUUUGAUGACGGAGGUUCCUCAGCUGGUACUCGCGUCUCACAUUUUCUUCCUACUUCCCGCAGGAUCGUUCAGUUCUCCAAUGGCAAGGUACGAGAGUCUUGAAGAGUGCCCUCUUCUCAAGUUUAGCUAUUGCAUAUUUGGAAUUGUGUAUAUCUCUAUUUAUUUCUUGAUGAUCUAGUUGGUUGAACUGGUAGGUACAUGACUCUUAAUUUCUAAUAGCUAUGCAAUUUCUGACUCUCUUUUUUAGUUGUUAUAAUUAUUAAAGAGAACGGGUGACAGCUUUCAUCAUCGGUAUGGGAACACUGUCUGGUUGAGUCUUGGUUCUUACCUUCUGAAACAUAAAUAGUUCACCCUGUCUAUGAUCAUUUCACCGAUUACCGGAUACUUUUUGUGUGUUUAUCUGUACUUUACCUAUUGAGUGACAGAAAGUUGCUUCGCAUCUCGUUUUAUUGCCUAUGUUAAUUCAUGCACGCUAGAUUAAACUUAAGAUUAUACUCUUUGGUUGAUUCACUUUUCUCCUCCUCAUUUUUUUUUAUCUGGGGUUGAUUAAGAGUACAUGAUUAUGGUGACAGGGGCCAGGACCGGAUGCACGCAUAAUUUACAUUGAUGGUGCUUUUGAUCUUUUCCAUGCUGGCCAUGUUGAGGUAUAGUACGUUCAUUUGGGGGCAGACAAUUUAGCCAUGUUAACUAUGUUUGUCGACCAGUCCAACUAGAAUUCCCUAAAUAUUUUUGAGGGAUCAUCCAUUUUAUUACGCCAAUGUUGUUAAUUCUUUUUUUUUUCUUGAUUAUUCAAUUGGUACAGAUUCUGAGGCGUGCUCGAGAGCUUGGAGAUUUUCUUCUUGUUGGGAUACAUAACGACCAGACUGUCAGGUUCAAGAAAGCUCAACUUUGGCUGUUUUCUUUAUAGUGAUUUUUAUGCAUAAAUAUAUAGCUCUUGUCCCCAUUCUGGAUUAGAUGUGCAUAAUUGCAUCCCUGCUUAAAUUCUUCUGAUCAAAUAGUACUUGUUAUACGUUGAUGUGCAGUGCUAGAAGUGGAGCGCGUCACCCAAUCAUGAAUCUCCAUGAAAGAAGCUUAAGUGUUCUGGCAUGCCGCUAUGUAGAUGAGGUGAUAAUUGGUGCUCCUUCGGAAGUGUCAAAAGAUACCGUGAGCUUUCAUUCUUUACUUAAUAAUAAUACACAAUGGACUUUCAUGAAGAGCUAUCUUUGACACUGAUUUGGAUGAUGCAGAUCACGACAUUUGACAUUUCGUUGGUGGUUCAUGGGACAGUAGCCGAGAGCGAUGAUUUUCAAAAGGUAAAACAAGAUUCAGAUGGAUUUUAUAUAACAAGGCAGUAUACAAAGAGUUUAUUUCUCAGAAUGUGUUUGUUGAUGAUCUGACACAGGAGGAAGGUAAUCCGUAUGCUGUACCAAUAAGCAUGGGCAUAUUCCAAAUCCUGGAAAGCCCUCUUGACAUCACAACCUCCACCAUAAUCAAGAGGAUUGUGAACAACCAUGAAGCUUAUCAGGCAAGUUGCUUUUCUUCUACCUCAUUCAUUUUCUUAUUGCAUCACUCUGACCAAUCUCUAACUUCAAAAUCGUUCUGCAAUUUUUUUAGAAACGUAACUUGAAAAAGGAAGCUAGCGAGAAGAAGUACUACGAGCAGAAGGCUUUUGUGACUGGCGACUGAUAGAAUCUUGAAAGCUUUGUAAGAGCAGACCAUCUUUGGGAUGUGAAUCUGUUUCUCCUUAUAUUUAUAUCUCCGUAGUAGUCCGUACUGGCUAUAGUAGGAUGUUUCUGCAUCAGACUCGAAUGCUACAUAGUAUUACAUUUUGUUCUCUAGUUUUUAAACAUAAAAAGGGCAUUGAUGAUUUUAGCACCAAAUGCUUCUUUUAUUUUCUUCACGUUUGGGAUGUUUCAUCUAACUUUCUACUUUCGUUUUUGCGUACUGCAAAUAUGUUAGGAUUGUAUAUGUUCACUAUCUGAAGAUAAAACGAUGAACUUCAUUAGAAAUGGUAAGUGCGGUUGAGUUUCAGACAGUGGUGAAACAGCCAAAUCUUGUCUCUUUGAAACUGAAAUCAGAGAGAGCAUUACAGUUUCGAAUCACAAAUGCAAUGAUAAAUUAGGAGAGGUCCCAAACAGGACCAAUCUCGCAGGAGUUUGAUGGUGCAAAUCAGGACAAGGGCUUGCUGGUCCCAUUAAUAGCCGGGACAAGGCCUCUUGUGGCCUUCACGUAUGAAAGGUAUUCACUAUAAUGCAUGCUGAAUAAUGUGCUCUGGUAUCUUGUUAGCUGGAUUCGCCUACGCACUGCCUCAGUUAUUUCACCAUUGUAUCCGGCUUUACGCACCAGAGAAUCUAUUGCCUCUAUCUUUGUCCAGCCUGCCAAAAACUAGUCAUGUAAGCUUUGAUAUAUAUAAUAGUAUGAGAUUCAAGUAUUGCUCCAAACAAUGCGAAUGAAUCCUCAGGUCUAGUCAAACAUACAAACACCUAAGCAAAACUGGUACCUUCAUGAGCAGGCACCUCAGGGAGAUAUGUGGCGUUUCGCUUUAUAUUAGUCACAGGUUCAGUGAAUUCAAUGAUUAUACCAUGCGUUCCCACCUUCAUAGUCAAAUCAGACAAAACUAAGUGAGUGGGAAUAUCAACAUGAGGGAUGUGACAGGAGAAGGUUUAUCAGAUGUGUGGAAUGACUAGCAUGCUACUACUUGUCGGUACUAUAUUCUUAUUUUAUGUUUAGAAACAGGAGACUAAGAUGAAGAGUGAAGAGUGAAGACAGUACCUCCCAAUCAAGAUAAUCCUCUGCAUCUUCAUAAUCAGUCAAGACGGACACCGUGCAUUGCAGAAACGGCAGUUCUUUGGGUUGGAUUGGUGGGAACCUACGAUCCCUCAGGGCACUGUGAUAUUACAUAAAUCAAAAAGGUACAUUUAUAACAAAUGACAUUGUACAGAAGAAAAAAAAGAGGUAGAUUAAGCUAAUGGGCAAACGCCAAGGAAUAUCAAAAUGUGUGAGUAAGUUACCUGGUCAAGGCAUAGUCCUUGAAGCCACUGAUCAAGCGGCGUGCUUCAAGUGUACCAAUACAUCCACGCAAACGAGGCUCCCCACCGUUCACUAUUUUCUUCCAGGUGACAAACAAUGGGCUACAAAGAAAACAACCACUGGACUAUGAGUAAGAGAAGAUGAUGUAAAACACCAAAUCAUCCAAUCUAUUCUACAUAUUUACUACUACUGACAACAAGUGGGAGAUGAACUUGCAUGUCACUAACAUAACAAACACAACAGGAGUUUUAAUGAAACGUACUGAUUGGCGUCGUCAAAGGCAGGUGGAGGAGAGUCUUCGUUGUUGUAGUGAGAGACCAAAGUGUCGAAACAGUACACAGCCAUCUCUUUGUUCGCCGACGCCAUUGUGUGCUUUUGAAGAAAACAAAAAAAAAACAAAAUUAGCAAGUAGUAUAGUGUGAACCUGAAAUUAUCCAAAAUCCAACUUAUAAAAAUACAACUACUAAGCAUGUGACUGGAUUUAUAUAAAAGGAUUAUUUUCCCCCACAAAAAGAGAUUUAGUUUAUGCUUACAAACACAACCCAACACAACCCAAAAACGAAUCACACAAAGAAUAUAGCAUUCUCAGAGAUAAACUAAUAAAAUAAUAUGAACACUGAAUAGUGACGAUGAAGAUUGGAGAAGUAAAUUGAUCGUUUUUUUUUCUAUAUAUAUUAAUAUAUAUAUGGGGAUUAAAAUCAAAAGCCACCACGAAAUCUAGAAGGAGCAUAGAGAGAGAUCUGUGAUAAGAAUUGAAAAGUUCAAACAGAUAGAGAAAUCAAUUGGGAGGAGCAUAAUAAGCGGAUAAAACCUGAGGAAAGCGCAAAAAGAAUCGAAGAUCGGUGGUGAGAUUGUUAAAAGUGUGUUUUAUGUUUCAGAAGCAAAGCUUUUCUUUUAAGACACUGACAAUUGUGUUUGGCUGGUGUGUCUUUUUCUUGAAGAGGACUUUAAUAACUACUAUUUUAUAUCAGACUUUCACACUUGGGCCCAUUAUCCGGACAUAAUACCUGGACCCAAUAUCCAAACAUAACACUCGGGCCCAAGAAAUUUGUAUUUUUUUAAAUAAAAUUAAGAAGUUUCAUAUAUUAUGUUUAUAUAUAAAAUUAAGAAAUUUGUAUAUUAUGGUUAACGGUGAUGGUUCGCGUGAAAUCUUCCUCUCGGUGCUUGCCAUGAAUGAUGAUGGAUGAGAUCACGAACAGUUUUUGAAAUUGGGUUCACUUGAGUUGAAGACGUUUGCGGUGGUAAUGGUGUGAAGUCAGUGAGCUCUAGUGGAUCCGGGUGAAUCGACGGUUGGUUAUCCGAUGUUAUUUCGAAACGAGAGCGAUGUCGGAGCUGCAGCGUUUGUCCGCGCGGCGGCAGAGCCUCGUGUGUCCUAGGGUUUCAUAGUUGAACCUUAGGCCCAAAAUUUUAUUGUAUUUUGGUCCGUUUCUUUGGACUUCUGUAUGUUGUACUGUAGGUUUUUUAGGCCCGUUAAUCAAAUAUCUAUUGAGGGACGGUACUAUAUUCUUAUUUUAUGUUUAGAAACAGGAGACUAAGAUGAAGAGUGAAGAGUGAAGACAGUACCUCCCAAUCAAGAUAAUCCUCUGCAUCUUCAUAAUCAGUCAAGACGGACACCGUGCAUUGCAGAAACGGCAGUUCUUUGGGUUGGAUUGGUGGGAACCUACGAUCCCUCAGGGCACUGUGAUAUUACAUAAAUCAAAAAGGUACAUUUAUAACAAAUGACAUUGUACAGAAGAAAAAAAAGAGGUAGAUUAAGCUAAUGGGCAAACGCCAAGGAAUAUCAAAAUGUGUGAGUAAGUUACCUGGUCAAGGCAUAGUCCUUGAAGCCACUGAUCAAGCGGCGUGCUUCAAGUGUACCAAUACAUCCACGCAAACGAGGCUCCCCACCGUUCACUAUUUUCUUCCAGGUGACAAACAAUGGGCUACAAAGAAAACAACCACUGGACUAUGAGUAAGAGAAGAUGAUGUAAAACACCAAAUCAUCCAAUCUAUUCUACAUAUUUACUACUACUGACAACAAGUGGGAGAUGAACUUGCAUGUCACUAACAUAACAAACACAACAGGAGUUUUAAUGAAACGUACUGAUUGGCGUCGUCAAAGGCAGGUGGAGGAGAGUCUUCGUUGUUGUAGUGAGAGACCAAAGUGUCGAAACAGUACACAGCCAUCUCUUUGUUCGCCGACGCCAUUGUGUGCUUUUGAAGAAAACAAAAAAAAAACAAAAUUAGCAAGUAGUAUAGUGUGAACCUGAAAUUAUCCAAAAUCCAACUUAUAAAAAUACAACUACUAAGCAUGUGACUGGAUUUAUAUAAAAGGAUUAUUUUCCCCCACAAAAAGAGAUUUAGUUUAUGCUUACAAACACAACCCAACACAACCCAAAAACGAAUCACACAAAGAAUAUAGCAUUCUCAGAGAUAAACUAAUAAAAUAAUAUGAACACUGAAUAGUGACGAUGAAGAUUGGAGAAGUAAAUUGAUCGUUUUUUUUUCUAUAUAUAUUAAUAUAUAUAUGGGGAUUAAAAUCAAAAGCCACCACGAAAUCUAGAAGGAGCAUAGAGAGAGAUCUGUGAUAAGAAUUGAAAAGUUCAAACAGAUAGAGAAAUCAAUUGGGAGGAGCAUAAUAAGCGGAUAAAACCUGAGGAAAGCGCAAAAAGAAUCGAAGAUCGGUGGUGAGAUUGUUAAAAGUGUGUUUUAUGUUUCAGAAGCAAAGCUUUUCUUUUAAGACACUGACAAUUGUGUUUGGCUGGUGUGUCUUUUUCUUGAAGAGGACUUUAAUAACUACUAUUUUAUAUCAGACUUUCACACUUGGGCCCAUUAUCCGGACAUAAUACCUGGACCCAAUAUCCAAACAUAACACUCGGGCCCAAGAAAUUUGUAUUUUUUUAAAUAAAAUUAAGAAGUUUCAUAUAUUAUGUUUAUAUAUAAAAUUAAGAAAUUUGUAUAUUAUGGUUAACGGUGAUGGUUCGCGUGAAAUCUUCCUCUCGGUGCUUGCCAUGAAUGAUGAUGGAUGAGAUCACGAACAGUUUUUGAAAUUGGGUUCACUUGAGUUGAAGACGUUUGCGGUGGUAAUGGUGUGAAGUCAGUGAGCUCUAGUGGAUCCGGGUGAAUCGACGGUUGGUUAUCCGAUGUUAUUUCGAAACGAGAGCGAUGUCGGAGCUGCAGCGUUUGUCCGCGCGGCGGCAGAGCCUCGUGUGUCCUAGGGUUUCAUAGUUGAACCUUAGGCCCAAAAUUUUAUUGUAUUUUGGUCCGUUUCUUUGGACUUCUGUAUGUUGUACUGUAGGUUUUUUAGGCCCGUUAAUCAAAUAUCUAUUGAGGGAUAUGUUUAUAUAUUUUAAUAUACAUAAAAUAUAUGCUUUUUUUUCUUUUUGAUCAAAAAAUAUAUGCUUUCAAAAUAGAAAAAUCAAGUUUGGUUCUCCAAAAACCAAAAUGUUGAAAUUUCGAAUAUUAUAUUCUCUUAUUUUUUAAUAUAUAUCCAUCCACAUUCAAAAUUUGGAGUUUCUCCAGUGCACAAAAAUCGAGAUAGGGAUACAAAAAAAUUCUAAAUUACCGCCAAAAUAACAUUUCUUUCCAAAACUGACACUCGCUCUCCUCCUUCAACACACACACAAUCUCUCCUCGGGAUCUUCUUCACCCUUCAUCCUCUCUAGGGUUUCCCCCCCCAUCGUCGCGGAAAAAAAAAAGAAAGAAGAAAAUGUCUCUAUCUUCAUCCACCACCACCACCACUUGCACUUCCCUCCUCCAAGAACUACAGGUUCGAUUUUGAAUUCCCACGAUUCAAUUGAUCAGAUUCAAUUGCGUCUUGUUCUGUAGAAUUGAGAUUGUUUUUUUUCUUAUGCAGAUCAUAUGGGAUGAGAUUGGCGAAGGCUACAGCGAGAGAGACAAGAUGCUGCUUGAACUCGAGCAAGAGUGUCUCGACAUAUACAACAAGAAAGUUGAGAAGACUCGCGAUCACAGAGCUGAGUUGCAACGAUCGUUAUCUCAAUCCGAAGCUGAGAUCGCCACCCUCGUGUCUGCGCUCGGUGAACAAGCCUCCUUCUCGAAGAAAGAAGGCUCUUUGAAGGAGCAGAUCUCUUCUGUGAAGCCUGUGUUGGAAGAACUGAUGGUGAAGAAGGAUCUGAGAUGGAAGGAAGUGUCUGAGAUAGUGACGCAAAUAGCUGAGAUCUCUUCUAACAUUGCGGGGAAUGAUUCUCUUGUUAGCUCUGGUUUUGAAGUUGAUGGAAGUGACUUGACGAAGAGGAAGUUGGAUGAGCUUAGAGCUCAUCUCCAGGAUCUUCGCAGUGAAAAGGUGUUCUUAUAGAGUUAUAUGUUAGAAAGAGUAUUAUGGUUAUAGGGCUGUUCGUUUGGUUGCCGCAGGUACCGGCAGCGGCAGCGUCAACGUUCUGACGCCGCGUCUGAACACCGCGUCCUGCGACUGACGCCGAUAAAACCUGCGAUCCCCGUAUAAUAUGCGGCAGCGGUAGCGUCAGCGUCUGCGAAACGAACAACAACUGUCCUCAUUGACGCUGUCGCUGCCGCUGACGCCGAAACCUGCGGCAACCAAACGAACAGGGCUUAUGUGUGCUUAUCUUUUUUUUAUUUUUUUUUCAGGCUGUUCGGUUGCAGAAAGUGAACUCUUAUAUCAGUGCUGUCCAUGAGUUGUCAGAGAUUCUUUCGUUUGAUUUCUCCAAGGCGUUGAGUAAUGUUCAUAAAAGCCUUACCGGGGCUUCGAAAAGCAUUAGUAAUGAUACUCUUGCUAGAUUGACAGAGCUUGUAGAGUCUCUGAGGAAGGAGAGACGUCAGAGGCUGCUUAAGGUGAGCAAAGAAAAAAUACUUUCUCAAUUGUUUGGAAAACUAGUAGGGAUUGAUACCUUUGAGAGAUUCUUGUUUAUUUCAGCUACAAGGUUUGGGAAGAAACAUGCAAGAGCUGUGGAGCCUGAUGGAAACAACUGCGGAUGAGAGGAGAAGAUUUGACAAUUUGAGUAUCUUGCUUUCUGUUCAAGCUGAUGAUGCCUUGGGAAAAGGAUGCCUCGGUCUAGACAUUGUCCGAGAGGUAAUGUCAUCAUAUCAUAUUCAUUUGUUCUCAUCUGUCUGAGUCAGCGAGUAUCAAACUUUUGAUUUAAGUCUAACAUUUUGGUUAUAGGCUGAAGAUGAAGUGGAAAGACUGAAUGCCCUGAAGUCCAGCAAGAUGAAGGAGUUGGUUCUGAAGAGGCAUUAUGAACUAGAAGAAAUCUGCAGAGAGGUUCAUAUGGAUUUCAAUAGCGAUGCUGCAAGACAGAGUCUUAUCGACGUCAUUGACUCUGGUACCAUACUAUUCCUCUCUUGUAGGCUGACUAAUUAAUUAAGUACAAACUGUUUUCUGACUAAUGUGAAAGUACGAUGGACAUGGCUCCGCAGUUAAGUUACUAAUGUAUGGUUUAAAGUUAUAUAUUUCAUUGAGUGUGCAGUGACGAAGGUUUCCUUUGCAGGUGAUGCUGAUCUGUUUGGUAUUCUGGAAAGCCUAGAUGAGCAGAUCGAGAAGGCAAAAGAGGAAGCUUUAAGCAGGAAGGAAAUUUUAGACAAAGUUGAAAAGUUGAAGCACGCAAAGGAAGAGGAAAAAUGGCUUGAUGAUUAUGAAAAGGUGACUACCACAUCGCGUUUUAAUAGCUAUAUUUUAUGAAAAUAGGUAAAGAGAAGAUCUAUGGACCUUGGAACUGAUUGUGAGCAUUUAUCUGAUGAAAUAUAUUUGUCUUAAGAUUAACUGCAGAGAUUUUUUUUUGUAUAGUUUUGGUGUUAGAGAGUAUCUCAUUUUGUGUGAGUUUCCUAAAAAACUAGCUUUGUAUACGUAUGUGAUAUUGAUUGUUUCUUGUAAUUUGCUUUCUUAACAGGAUGAGAAUCGCUUUAGUGCUGUAAGAGGAGCGCACAAAAAUUUAAAACGCGCGGAGAAAGCUAGGAGCCUUAUCAGCAAAAUUCCUGGUGAGUCUUUUAUACAUGCAUUACUUGAUUAAUGCAAGCAAGUCUGUCUUCUGGAAUUGGUAACUAGAUAUCCCUUUGGAUUAGUUUUCAAUAAUCUUUUUUCUUUUCAUUCCAAGAUUCUUAUUAUUAACAGCUCAACUAGAGGACAGUUCCUUCCAGCUUAAACUCAAAAACUCAUUGUUAGAUGUUUGGAGUUUCUGAUGUUUUUCUUUGCACUGGUUAGGGUAAAUAGUGUUUGAAGGUAGUAAUAGUCAGUGCCUGAUUCAAAUCAAGUGAAGUUUCUGUAGCCUUUUUGUGAUGCUUAUUCAUCCCUCCAAAAGUAGUUGAUGUUUGUCUGUUGUAAAACUGAUCGGUCUUGAGAUGACAUUAACCUCUUAUGUUUAUUUUAUAAGCAAUGAUCGAUGGUCUGACCACCAAAGUGAAGGCAUGGGAGAAAGAAAGAGGAGUCCCCUUCCUAUGUGAUAAGGUAACGAACUGUACAUUUACUCAACUGUCCUUUUUAUGGUUUGAUUCAGCUUAUGUGAGUUAUGACUUUUUCGAUCCAGCACCCGUUGUUACAAACACUGGAAGAAGAAAUUGUUUUGCGUGCUCAAAGAGAGGAGGAAAAGCGUCAGUUCCGAGUAUGUGUGUUAGUCAAAACAAGGAUUUGUAGACAAUCACUGUGGUCUUGAACUAACACUUUGUUUGUUUUGCGUAAACAGGAGCAGAAAAGACUACAAGGUCAGCUUGCUACAGAGAAAGAAGCAAAGUAUGGUUCAAAAUCUGCAAAGAAGAAGCCAUUGGGACAGAGUCUUAACACAGACAAUGUGACAAAAACACCACUUGGUCGUAGGGUUGGGACUACACCUGGCCGUUCUGGUGUCAAAGAUUAUAGAGAAAGCGGCAGAGGCAAUGCCACCGCGAUACCGCUGAACUAUGUCGCUCUUCAGAAAGAAGAUUGAUUGAUACUAGAUACUAGAAAGGGGGUUAGGGUUUUACAUAAAGCUACAUUACAUGUUGAUGAGCUGAUAGACUUCUUAUGUGAUUCUUUUUGGUUUCUAGUUCCUUUUGCUAAUGAUGUUUUCAGAUUUUAGUUGGUAUGAAUAUGAAGUGUCACAUUUUUACUCAUAAUAUCCAAACCAAAGUUUAAAACAGGCUUUGCUUCUGGAAAUGAUGUCAAUUCAAAAACCAUCUGUCACAAUGCAUAAGGAUUACAACUAAUAAGCUCAGGGUUCUCACUACAUUACUCCUUCAGAAGAAAAGUUUUUUUCAAGUAGUGUUUCGGGUGAAAAAAAGCUUGUCACAUCUCACCACACUCUGUAAUUACAACGGCAAGCUUAGGGCGGUUGUUUGGUCCAACAGCAACGUUCUCAAUCUUCCGCAUCACCAAUAAGCCAUCUCCAAGCACCCUCUGUACAUCACAAAGAAGAAUUUGUAAUGAGUCAUAACAAAACUAUUACCAAACAUAUGUGCACAAGAGUUCAUGAUUCAGUGCCUUCUGCCUCAACUAUCUAUGGCUUUUAAGUUUCUACUAUUAAUCGAUGGAAGAAAACUGAAAAGCUUCUGGUUCAAUCAUAUGCAAUACGUGUGUAAGUGAAAAGAGAACAUACCCCAAAGACAACAUGCUUGUUGUCAAGCCACUCGCAUUUUGCACAGCUGAUGAAGAACUGCAAUGCAAAAGAGCAAAGUUUAAUUAUAGCCUUAAAUGAUAACAUAUAUAUAUAUGAUGGCCAACCAAGUAACUAUACUUCUUUUUCUAAAGCUAAAGUUUAAUAAAUUAGAUUAGCACCAUAGCCAAUUAGCCAUUACAGUUUAGCGAUUAUAUUGAGACAGAAAUUACCUGGCACCCAUUUGUGUCUGGCCCACUAUUUGCCUAUAACAAAAGAAGGAGAUGAGCAAAAUUAGCGAUCAAAGUCAUGCGUAUUAUAUCAGAAAGGUAAUAGGGCUGUUCGUUUGGUUGCCGCAGGUACCGGCGGCAGCGGCAGCGUCAACUCUUGUUCGUUUCGUUGAUGCAGGAAGUUGCGUCUGACGCCACUGACAUAAUAUGCGGCAGCGUCAGCGUCUGCGAAACGAACAACAACUGUCCUCAUUGACGCUGCCACCGCCGCUGACGCCGAAACCUGCGGCAACCAAACGAACAGGACUAAUAGCAUACCAUGGAGAGGAGUCCAGGUCCGGUAUGUUUAGCAGUAAAAUUCUCAUCAUCGAACUUGUGACCAUAAAUGGACAUGCAUCCAUUACCAUCAUUCUGCACAAGAGUUGAACAUGUUUGAGCAUUUAGUUAAACAAAGAAGCUGAAGCUCUAUAUGGAGGCAAAAGGAACAGACCUUAAGAAAAUCACCACUCUGAAUCAUAAAGUCCUUGAUGACCCUGUGGAACUGACACUCCUUGUAACCAAGAGGCUUCCCAGCCUUUCUGCAUUUUUUACAUUACACCCACCAGAUAAAAAAAAAAAGGUUAGCUUUUUAAGUAGCAAGGUGAUAAUAUGAUCUACGCUUAGCUAGCAAAGUGCAUCAAGACAAGAUUUUGAGACAUGCCCAUCUCACAGAAUCCAAAAAAAUCGAAUGUACCUGAGUUCACCAGUACAGAACUGCCUGAAGUUCUCGGCGGUUUUGGGGGCGAUGUCGGCGAAAAGCUCCAUCUUGAUGCGACCCGCGGGGAUGCCGCCGAUAGAGACGUCGAAGAAGACGACUGGGUUUUUAGGGUUCGGUGGUCUCACGUGCCACUCCACGUUUCCUCCGCCGCCGCUUGACGGAGCUGAGGCUGGUGCUGGUGGUGCAGCUACGAUUCCUCCUGCUCCAGAACUCAUCGCAACUCAAAAAGCUAAGAGAGAUACUUUCUUCCUUCCUUCCCCGUUCUCUGAUCAAGGAACCUACUUGGGCUUUUAAAUUCGAACCUAUUUGGGCUUAUAUUCGAUCCUACUUGGGCUUAGAUUCCAAGUGGUGAAAUGAAAGUUGCAAUACAACCCUCCAACUGUCUUUGUCUUUUCAAAUUUACCUUUUUACUUAUGAACAUUUCAAUGUAACCCUCUGAAAACUUCUACAAGAAUAAGCUGUGAAGAGGAACUUGAGUGUCACUACAUCAUUCAUCAUGUAAGAGACUACCUUAAUGCUCUCUAUUAGAAUGCACAAACUCUUUACAUUUUCAAACCACUAAGAUUUAAACAUAGGGAAACAUGUUUAAUAUAGCCCUAUUAAUCAUACAUAUAUAUAUAUAUCUUCAGUCGUCACGUAACCAAAUAAAAACAGAGGUUUUAGUAUUCUUCCAUUGACAAAAUGCAUGUGGUUUACCAUACAAAACAAUAUUAUUGAAAGGUAAGUUACCAACUUAGAAUUGAGCAUGUAAGAGUUACAUACGUCAAAAGAAAAUAGAAAAAGACAGCUAAAUUUGAUAAUUUGGAAGUUGGAGAAGCUCCUCCACUGUCAUAAAAAUCCCCAUUCAACAAAAGAUAAAAAAAGGGUCUGCUCAUGCGUGCGAUGGCUAGACAAGUGAGACAAGACUUCUAAGAACUCUUCUUGCUAUCAAGCUCCUCCAACACACCCAACAGUUUCGGAUCCGCAUAGUUCUCUAUAAGAAAAGCAGGUCUAGCUUGCAUCAGCACGCUUGCUGGAUUCCCUGUGGUAAGUCCAACCACAGGCAUUCCAGCCGCAACUCCAGCUUUUAUCCCAGAGACCGAGUCCUCGAACACCAGCGCAUGCUCUUUCGACACGUUAAGCACUUCGAGAGCCUUCAAGUAAGGCCCCGGGUGUGGUUUGGGAAACUCACAUUCAGAGCCGAGAAUCACUGCCUGGAAGAAAUCAGUGAGACCAAGUUUCGAUAUGAUGAGCUCUGCGUUCUCUUUUGGAGCGUUUGUCACGGCGGCUCGUUUCAGUCCACGGUCUUCGAUCCAUUUGGUUAGUUUUAGAAGUCCGUCAAGUGGCUUUACCUUCUCUGCUACGAGUCUAACCAAAAAAACAAAGUUAACUUGAUAGUCAAGACGGUUCGGUGAUUUUCGGGGGAUAUAAACAAUUUAGUAAAGGUUUUUAUAAGAUAAUUUUUAUACAAAUUUAAAAACCUAUUUCUAUGUAAAUUAAUUUCAAAAUUUUGAAAGUUAUUGGCCUAUGUGUUCACUUGGCUAUGCUCAGGACAACUAGAGGUGAAGCCAAGGCAUCAAUUAUGGUGGCAUGUACAACCACAAAAUAUUGAAAAGAAAUUUAGUGUGCCUAAUCAUAAAAUGCCAGCUAGAUUAGAUGGUUAUAACGAUAUUGUGCACAAAUAAUAAUGUUCUCGGGUUCAAUAACCAAUUUGUCAUUUAUUCAAUUUUAGUACAAUUAUCAAUUAAAUCUUUCUAGAUUCGCCCCUGAGGACCACCCAUAUCAAUAGGGAAGCAAUUUUUAAGACAGAAACGUGACUUACUUGCGGAAGAGAGCUUCCUUGUCCUCGCAAAACUUUAACCCUUUAGCAACAUCAUCAGGGAAGAGAACGAGAGCAAUCUCAGAGUUGUGUUUUCCAGCAAUGUUGGCAAUGAAGAACUUCUCGUCGAUUGGGACACCAUUGUUAAAACCAAUCUGUGAGUGAUUCAAGAAAGCAACAUUUUGAGACAAGAACUUGAAUGUAAGUAAGUAUUAUAUAAUAAGGUUCCAAAGCUGAAGAUAUUAUUCAAAAAGGAAUUAAUAACCUGUUGGAGCAGUUCUUGGAAGGCGAUAAGGUGGAUGGGAUCAGAGUCACAGAGUGUUCCAUCAACAUCAAACAGAAUGGCUUCUAGUGGAGCAAGAUGUGAGAGCGAUGGUUUGCUGCUUCACAACAGAAAAAUGAAAUAGAGUUGAACAAAAAUAACAACGUAUAGAUCAAAAUCUCAACAUAAGGAUCAAAUUUGUUAUUAUAUCUAUCAUCUAGCUUUCAGUUUGGUCUUGAUAAUAUAAGGAGAAAGAUCGCAACAGUUUUGUACCAUCAGAUCAUGCAUACAUAUAUAAUAUAAGUUAUCAUUGACUCUGAAAGUAGGAUCAAGCACGUUACCUCUCGGAAGAAGUGAGAUCAGAGAAGCCAUUCAUUGCGAUGAAACAGAGAAACAAAACCGGAUCUGUGAUUGCAGAGAAGACACCAACCAAUAGCUUUUGAGUUUUGAGAGAAAGUGCGAAGAAUAUUAAAAGGUACAAAAUGGGAAUCAAAUGGGUGCACGUCAGAGGAAGAUUCGGCCGGGGCUUUUUCAACACGUGGUGCCUUUUGUAUUUUUUAAUAACGAACGCAUUAUGCCAAAACUGGAAACCUGGAUUUCAUACCGUCUUCCGGUUUAGAUAAUUCAUUUGAAUUUAUUAGGCAUUUUGGUUGAAGAGGCGGGUAUGAUAAGAUCACGAACAAUAACCUAAGGAAAAUAUAUGAUUUUGUCUUUUAAUAUGAAAAAUAAAGUUUUAUAAAAUUACAUAUAGUAACUAAAAUAGUAUGAAAUUUAUAAAAUUACAUCAUAAUCUGGACAAUAUCUUAUUCUGUAAUUUAUUUAGAGUUUUUAGAUAUAGUUUUUUUUUUAUAUAAUAAAAACAAGAUUGCAACUUUUAUUGGUUGGCGAUUCAAAUUAAAACGGAAUGAAGUUUUGAACAGGUAUUUAACGACUUAUUAGCCGAUUAAGGGCUUGACUGGUUCAAACGCAGCAGUUACGGUUGCGGUUGCGGGAGUUUGUGGAUGCAUGCAGUUGCGGUUUCUAGCGGUUUUAACAGAUUUGUACGAUUGUUACUGCAGUUAAAAAUUGAUGCGUUUGCGGAUGACUUAUGACUGGUUAACUACCAAAUGCGGUAGGUUCGAAGCGGGUUAGAGCGAUUUGAGUGAUUGUUGCAAACCGCCGACAACCGCUACCAACCGCAAAAGCUCGUUUGCGGGUCGUAGCGAGAAAACCAGUCGCCCCCUAAUACCACCCUUCAUAUGUCAAAGAUCCCCUCUAAGUGUUCCCCUACAACACAUUUACUUUUAUACUAUGACUAGACUUUCACAAGUUUUAAAUAUUUUGCAACUCAUGAUAUUUUUUGUGGGUUUUUUUAAUCAUUAUAGCUCUUUUUUUAUUGAAUAAGUGAUGAUGCAAUGGUUCUCGUUUAGUGAAAACAAAUACAUGUUGUCUCUAAAAAAAUUUAACAGAUCCAAAUGACAUCUAGUCGUCAUCUGAAUAUCAUGUUCAUGUGCAUAAAAGUGUUAUGUUUUCAUAUAUUGGAAUCGUGAUCAUAAUUAGACAUGAAAACAGAGUUUAACAUGAACACACUCUUUUUCUCUCACUGAAUCAUGUCACCAACGACAAGAACUCUUUAUUAUCAAAUCAAAAGGGUAUAGAAAACGCAAAUGUUGGAAUAGAAACACAACCAAAAGGAAACCAAACGUUUAGUAACAAAAAGUCUUGAGAAUACUUUCUCGACCGAGAUCAGUUCGAUUUGGAUAGCAGUGUGAGCAAGAAAUCUCUGUAGUUUCCUCUAAUCUUCUCUUGAAUAUUUUGGGCUAACGUCUCACCGUAGCGCUGAUUAUACUCUUCUGCGAUCUCCUUCAUCUCAUCACUAUGAUCCGCUCUCGUAACGAACACUCUUGUCAACCAUUUCUUGGUGCCCUUGUCCGCAUCUUUGUUCAAAGACGCAUUCAAAAUCUAGCACCAAAGAAAUAAGAGACUUUAUUAAAACAUUAUUUUGUCGUUAUUAAAAAGAAAUAUUAGAAGUUUAUAUACGAAAAUACAUGUGUAACCAUAUAAGUUUAUUGUGUUACAAAAAAAAACCAUACAAGUUUAUUACCUUGCUGAAGUACACAGAGGGUUUGAGCAAGCAAAGCAAUGCAUCAUUGAGGAUUGAAGAGUCAGAUACACCCUAAUGAUCAUGCCACAAGAUUUUCUUGACCCAUUAGAAAAUUUAUACAUGUGAUUACAUAAAUAGUAUAACAAGUGUAAGGAGUCAUAUAUAUGUAUGUUACCCCAAGAAGAUCAGAGCCAUUGAUUUGGUUAAAGUGUUUGUAGAGUUGUUGGAUAUGAAGUUUGCUUCUUGUGCUCAGAAUCCUAACAACCUCAUCAUUCUCAAUGGCUUUCUCUCCUGGAGAAGCCACCGCCUCGGCCAAAAUCUUAGCGUCAGAUUUAGCUAAAUCAUCCUUCACCUUGUUCCCUUCGUAUCUGUAAGCACUCACGAGGCCUACAAGCAGCUGCAUGCACAAACACAUACAAGAGACAUGCCAGUGAGUAAGAAGAGAUCUAGAGAGAUCAGGUGUGGGGGGGUGUAUGGUAAGAAAGAAUGUUACUACUGACCUUGCGGCGAGAGCCGUGGAUGUUAGAGGCAAUGUCUUCUUCCAUCGACUGGUCGAAGAGUGAGUGGUAAGCUUUGCGUGCGCCUAGGAGAUCAUCAGAGGAGCGAGUGCAUGCCACCUCCACGAUGAGGCUGUAACAUUCAUCUCCUUUCUUCAGUGCUUUCUUCACCACCCUUGCGUCUCUCUCCCAUGGAUGCAUCGACCACAUGACCACCGCAUUCUACACAUCAUAUAGACUAAACGUUCAUCAUUUCCAUGGAGUGAUAAGGUUUACCUAUUUUUCUCUUCAUAAGGAGUGUCUUAUUAGGACUUCGUUAGGAAACGCGAAAGGACCAAUACUAGUAGUUUAUCAAAGUUCAUUUCUUGAGAUCAAAGCACAUGAUACUUUACAGAGUAUUUGAUAAAAAAUUAUAGGAAUAUAUUCUUCGUCAAGUAACAAGCAUCUACAUCUCUAACCAAGUUCUUGAGAGUAUAUGAGUAAAUUCUUCAUCACGUGUUCUUGAGAGUAUAGGAGUAAAUUCUUCAUCACGUAACAAAUAGCUACUACAUCUCUAACAAAUCGCACACUAAAUAGUUGCAUAACAAACAAUCAAUGAAUACAAAAGGAUGAUAAUGAGCUAGUUGUUAAUUUGUUAAUGUUAAUUACUCUAAUAUAUAAAUUCAGAAAUUUUAGAUUUUUAGUCUUUCACUAAACUGAAAUAAAUUGUUUGUUUUGUACUUUUAUUAGGAAAAACAAUGAUUGGUUUGUUAUUAGGUAAGAAGUAAGAAUGGUGGGAAACUAGUUAAUUAAAUAGAUUGAAAUAGCAAUAACUUUGCCAAAAACAACUAUAAUAAGUAUUAAUAAAAUAUAUUUUUUUUAGAAAAACCAGAAAACGAAAGAUAAAAUUUGAAAAGAAAAAAGAAAGAAAGAAUGAAAGAUGUAAAGUUUUGCCAAAACAAAAAGAAUUAAAUAGUACAACUUUUGCCAAAACAAAAACUAGAAUAUAUAGUAAUAAAAUGUUAAGAAAAGAUAUAUAAAUAGAAACCCCAGAAAAUGAAAAAUGUAAAGGUGUAAGAAACUGACAUUGAAGCGGGAGAACUCAAGCUUGAGAUGUUUGACAAAUUGAUCAUGGCACUUCUCAAAAGCUCUUUCUUCAUCUUCCUCAAAGAAACCUUUGCUUGCUUUCCUAAACAACUUUCGAUGAUCCUUGUGUGAAUUCCCCAGUGUGCUUAUCAAUGCUUUCUCAUCAACUCCCAUUCCUACAUUUUUUCCUAUAUGAUAUCCAACAUAAUUGAUUAACCUUCAAAAUCAUUCUUAAUUGGUUUUCUCACGAUUUUGACAUUCACUGGUUUGCCAAAAUUGACUUUUAAGAAGUACCUGAGAAUGCGUCAACAAUGCUUUCAAGAUCGAGUGUGUGAGCCAUUUAUCUUAAUGUUGUUUUUUUUCUAGCUUUGAUUUGGUUUUUGUGGAGAGCUAUUGAAGAGACACAAGUCAUUUUAUAUGAUGCGGGGAUUAUAGAGAAAAGGGUGUUUUCGGUAAUCAAUAAGUAUUUGUUUAGUUUAAUAGUUUCGUGUUCAGAUUUAAGACAAACGCUAGGUGCAUUGUUGUAACAAGAAGUAACGCUCACGAAAUUUAUUAUUUUACAUCUUUUAAGUUUUAACAACUGUUUUGCAAGCACAAAUUGAAUUACAGUAAUCCAAGACAAAUUAAAACUUACUGUUUUUUUUUGUUUAAACUGAAUUUUUUAAGUUUGACCAUUACAUAAAACGGUCAGUAUAUACAAUUAUACAUAUAUCAUCAUAUCUAUAAUUAAGUAUUGUCUUUGCGUUUCAAUCUAAUAUAGUAAAUAUAAUAAUUUUAUCUAAAAUGUAUAAUCAUUUCAAAAUUUGUUUUUUAAAAUACUUUACUAUAUUAUAUAAAAUAGUUACAGGUUAUAGAUACAUAUGUUAUAUAUAGUAUGAACAGUUUGAAUCAAAAAAUAGAUUUAAGAAGUUAAAAAACAAUUAAAACACUAGACAACAUAUUUUAUGUCGUGAUCUAAACUUGCGUUAGGAAAUUUACAACAAAAACUAAUCAUAAGUAACACCUGCAUGUGCUCUGGCAGAUAAUAUAAGAUACGAUACAGAAGGUUAAGAUCCAUGUGAUUUUAAGUAGGUCGAAUCUCAGAUAAUUAAAAUAAUAUAAGACUAGGAAAAGUCAACUACGUGGGAUUCACUCCAUCUUAAACGAAUGUCAGAUAACAAUUACAAUGAAUAAACAGAUGAAACGAUUAAGUUGUAGAGGUUUGCAUGUAUAACGUUAUUGGAUGUUAAAUCAGAAAAGGGCGAUCAAACCAGCAUUCAUGAGUUGGCUUCGUUUGUUAUAUUAUGAUUCCUGGAAAAAAAUUAAGACAAAAAGUAAAUAUUGAAUCAUUUGGUACGUGCGACGAAGUUUCAAAGAUCAUAAAUCUUUCACAUAAAUAAACAAAAUAGGUUCGAAGAUCAUGGCAAGCUCUUCUUCUCUUAAACUAAUAUUAAUGUCUUCUGUAAGGUUUGAUGCGUUCUCAAUUUGUCCAGACUGUCUCUCAGCGAUUCAAAGGAGUAGAUGAGAAGCCUCCAUCACGUUUCCUUAACGAGGCUAAUAAGUGAUUAGGUUAUUAAUAUACAACAAGCAUCACACAUUCGCAUGGUGUUUAAAAUAAAAUAAAAUAAAUUAUUGCUGCAUAUCUGUCAUCGGGGUUGUACAAAAACCUUAUUUUUUGGCAUACCUUCAUAUGUCCCUAUCUUAAAAGAAAUAUUUGGUCAACCAAAUUAAUAUAUAGCUAAAGACAUGGUGUGUCGUUUGCAGACGUGCAUAUAAACAAGAUCACGUUUAACACGACGAGACGACUUCACAAUAAUUUAGAGGGGACAGAAUAGCUGUGUCUAUAUAUGAUUUGCAUUUCGCUAUCUCUUUUAAUUUGAUUUGGUUAAACUUAUUCCUCAGUCAUAAGAUCCCGUCAUUUUCUAUCCUCUUAAAUCUAAUAUAUACGCAUAUGUCACAGAGGCAGACAUGCUGUUGACUUGCAACAUAGUUUUUCUUUUGGCUGGAAUGUGAAUAUCAUUAAGUAUGAAAAGUUUAGGUUUUUCAAUAUAGCCUAUCUAAUGUAAGUGUUUGUUGUAAGAAAAAAGAAGAAGAAAUAAAAACAAGGAGAACCUAGUUCAUAUAUACAAACACAAAAUAUCCCUAUUUUCUUGUUAAAAACAUUUGAUAGAAGUAUAUCAUCGUAUUAUAUAUUGUUGACGUGUAAGUUUUUCUAUCUGAUGAAUUGCAUACACAUUGGGAUUAUUUUAAAUUUACACUAGUGUGAAAAUUUCAUAUAUUCUUUAAAAGUAAUUAUUUAGUUACAAUUUAAGGAAAUGAUGAAAUCAACAUUUUUUUAUGAACUGAGGCUUUCUAUUUAAAUGUAAAGUUGUGCAAUGGACAAUUCGAAGAUAAUUUCACUAAUUAGUUGCGAUAAAUUAACUUUUAGAAAUUUUAUUUUCAUUAAUCUAUAUAAAUGAAUAAAUUAUUUUUAUGGAUUCAAACUUUAAUUAUUAUUUUUAAUGAAUCCUUAGUUAGAUUAUUGGACUAAGGAGAUUUUCAUAAUUAAAACAUAUCUUAAAGAGCUACUUGGUGGUGGGUUAAGUGGUAAGUAAUAGAUAUAUGGGACCCUAGAUAUAUUAAGAAAAUAGUUAUAGAAAUAUGAGUUUGACUACUAAGUAAUACACAAUUAUUAUUGAACCGUCAUAUUCAACUUCUUCUUCGAAAUUAGAAAAUAUUAUUACAGUUCAAUCAAAAAAGCUAUUAUUACAGUAACGUCUUAAGGGGUAUUUACGUCAAAUAAGAUUCCCUGAUUACAUAAUUACACCCAAGUAAAUAACGGAUUCAGACGAAACAAGAGAGAUAAAGAAACCAAAAGAGAAACAUCUCUCAAAUGGCCACCAUUAGAGUACCAGACGAAGUUCCUUCUCCAGCUCAAGAUUCCGAAACUCUCAACCAAGCUUUCCGCGGUACGUUUACCAUCGGUUUCUGCAUUUUUGUGUUGUGUGUGGUUCUCUCGAAACAAGAUGUAUUGUCUGUCUUUGUAGGAUGGGGAACAGACGAGAAGGCGAUCAUACGCGUCUUAGGAAAAAGAAACGAGAGUCAAAGAAAAAGAAUCAGAGAGAGUUACAGAGAGAUUUACGGCAAAGAUCUUAUUGAUGUUCUCACCUCUGAACUGUCUGGUGAUUUCAUGGUACUAAAACAUUGAGGUUAUAGAUUGUUUGUGUAUCUUCUAUAACGUGAAAACAUGAAAACUUGUGAUUGUAUUCGCAGAAAGCUGUGGUUUUAUGGACUUAUGUUCCAGCAGAGAGAGACGCAAGGCUAGCUAACAACGUCUUGAAUGGGAAGAAGAAAAGCAUAGAGAAACUUAAGAUCAUCGUAGAGAUCUCUUGCACAACUUCUCCUAACCAUUUGAUUGCUGUGAGGAAAGCUUACUGUUCUCUCUUCGACUUAUCUCUUGAAGAACACAUUGCUUCCUCUGUCCCUUUCCCUCUUGCAAAGGUAUACCUUCUUUUGAGUUUUGAUUGUUGUCAUGAGAAGCUAAAGUCUUGAUAUGGUCUUUUAUUGUAUAAACUGCACACAGGUACUGGUGACUUUGGCAACUUCUUUUAGAUAUGACAAAGAUAUGGCUGAUACAGAAGUAGCUACUAUUGAGGCCGGUAUGCUGCGUGAAGCGAUCACAGCGAAGCAACUAGAUCAUGAUCAUGUCCUAUACAUAUUAGGAACUCGCAGUAUCUACCAGCUCAGAGAAACCUUUGUUGCUUACAAGCAGAGUUAUGGGAACACGUUAGAUAAGGUGAGUUUGGCUUUCAUUUAUGUUAUGUGUAUUCGUUAUCUCGAAUGAAAAUGACCCUAGCAUUUGUGUCGGAAGUUCGACUGCUUUCGAACUUCCGGAACAAAACUAAUAUUACAUGUUGUGGUUACGGCACUGGGAGAUUACGGGUUUCUGCCCGAAUCUCUUGGUUAUUUUUUUUUAAAGAUUUUAUAUGUAAUUCUUUACUUGAUGCUUGAUGUUGUGUUGUUAUAUGGACAGGAUGUUGAUGGAUGUCCGGGAGAUGCUGAUCUGAAAAGUCUAUUACAGAUGGUGAUCUUGUGCAUUGAGUUCCCUGAGAAACACUUUGCAAAGGUACUUCAAAAACAUUUGAGCAGAUGUUACUCAAGUAGACAACAAAGGCGUUUUAUCUUCUUUCCUUUGACUUUUGUGUUUUUUGUUUAUGUUUAAUUUACAGGUUGUAAGAGACUCCAUUGAAGGGUUUGGAACAGAUGAAGAUUCGUUGACGAGAGGGAUUGUGACGCGUGCAGAGAUUGAUCUGAUGAAAGCAAGAGGAGAGUACUAUAACAUGUACAAUACAAGCAUGGAUAACGCUAUUAUUGGUGAUGUUUCCGGUGACUACAAGGACUUCCUCCUCACUUUGCUUGGUUCCAACAUCUGAUCUUUGUUUUUCUUUUAAUAUUCUUGGCUUGUGAUUUGUGUGACUUGUAAGAAAAACUUCUUUUCUCUCUCCGGUUUGAACAAAUGUUAUAAAAAUAAUCAAACUACUCUUGUUUCUUGAUUUUUAAUGAUAUGUUGUAUAUAUUUGAAAAAGUACCUAAAACUAAAAAAAAUGUAGGUAGAGCCAAAUACAAAUCAGGCCUGCCACGCCAAAGUGUAGUUCACAUGGACGUCACGUUCGGGUUAUAUUUGGAUUGGAUUGAUAUAUGUUCGAGUUAGGUUUGGUUAAUCAUAUUUUUGAUUAUAAUUUUUUUUUUUUAUAAUUUUCUAAAAAAUUUCAUUUCAAAUUAAAAUUCAUUUUGGGUUCAGUUAAUAAUAUUUUGAAUUUAAAUAUUUUACAACCGGACCAUGAUAGAUAGACAUAAAGUUAAAUAUUUGAAAUAUUUAUUUAGUAUUGUGAAUAGUCUCAUUUCAAAUGCUAAUUUAAUACGGACAAGAUUUGGAUAAUAUGAAAAUCCAAAAUAUUUUAAUUAAAGUUUGUUUUGGACAUGGGUUUCAGUUACUAAUGUCCAGACUUAGUAGUGGGCCGCAGAAACAAAACUCAAGCCCAAUAUUAUGAUAAGCAAGAAUGGCACUCACGUGACAUCUCCAAAACGGCAUAAAGUCCGGCGGGAAGGCAGACUAUUCCGAUGUGACAAGCACACUCUUCGUUAAUCAAAUAUGGUAAAAAGAUUUAAAUAUUUUUCUUGAGAUAUUUUGUGCAGAUUGAGUUUUAAAAAAAUGUGUGGCUCUUGUCAUCUUCCACCAAAUCACACAAGGCUCCAAAAAAAAAAAAAAACAUUUUCCUCCAGCUUCUUUGGAGUCAUCUUCUUUAUUUCAUUUUCUUCUCUUUCUCUGUGAUCCUUAAACCCUUUCCAUGGCCUCUAUCUCCAGAGUUCUGCCAACAGAUGGCAGAUUAAGUCAUUGCACUUCAUGGGUUCCUGUAACUCUUGUGAGGAGAGCUCAAACUCCACCUGGUAUAUAACAUCAGCGAUCCUUUUAAUCUAACACAAAGUCUCUGGCUUUUUUUGUUGCUGAUGAAUCCAUUUCUCUGUGUUUAUUUCAGAUUCUCUCAAGUUGUUUCCCGUUAGUAAAGCUGGAGUAAGUUUAAGGAUUCAGAACAGUAGUAGACCGUUACGCUCUGUCUUUGCUCUCGAGUCACCUUCCUCCAGGUACUUUAUUGGGGACUAAAUAAAAUUCAUCUAUUGAUGUAAUUUUCUCUAGUUAGAUGCGAGAUUUUGAAGGCCUGUGGCUAUGUUUAGUUAUGAAAAUUUAUUUUACAAAUUUGGAAAUCUAAAUUUUUUUUUUUGAAGUCUAUUUGUUUGUAAUUUUUUUAAAAAAAAUUUAGGGGUCUGUGGCAAAUGUUUCGGUUAGCAUGGCCAGGGCCGACAUCUAACUUAGAUGUGGGUCAAGUUCAAGUUAGCUUCUUGUUUAACAUGUUCGUUGUGAACUUUACAGGAGCAGCCGAGUUGCUUGCAAUGCUGCUGCAGAUAUGUCAGGUGAUGCACCUGAAAGCACUCCUAAGGAACUGAGCCAGUACGAGAAGAUUAUUGAGCUUUUGACCACCCUUUUCCCACUUUGGGUACCUUUUGAUGAACUCUAUAUGCGUUUGAUAUCUCAAAAUGGUGGAGUGAAUGUGAUGCUUUCUUUUUUGUUUGUUGGUGUGCAGGUUAUUUUGGGAACACUUGUUGGCAUCUUCAAGCCAUCUUUGGUAUGCUUUCUUCCAUGCUUCUUAUUUUUUAAUCUUAUGUCAAUCUAAUAGAUUGUCUUUUUAUGUAGGUUACAUGGUUGGAAACAGACCUCUUCACUCUAGGUCUGGGCUUUCUCAUGCUCUCCAUGGGAUUAACUCUUACCUUUGAAGAUUUCAGAAGAUGUUUACGUAACCCCUGGACGGUGAGACCCUAUGACCAACUGUGUAUCUACUCUCUUUAUGUUAACAUUUGGACUCCUCUUGCAGGUGGGUGUUGGUUUUCCCUUUUCUUUUGGUUGUUGAUGAUUGUUGAGGAGCCACCUAAUACUAAACCUUUUAUCAUAGACUCUUAAGCUUUCAGCACCUCUUGCAACUGGUCUUAUCCUGGUCUCAUGCUGCCCUGGAGGACAGGCGUCAAACGUUGCCACCUACAUUUCCAAGGGCAACGUAGCACUCUCUGUACUCAUGACAACGUAUAUACUUUUUUUUUUCACUUGUUUUUUUUUUCGUUUUUUGAAGGCCUCUCAAUAAUAUGUUCUCUAAUUUUAUAGGUGUUCAACAAUCGGAGCUAUUAUAAUGACUCCUCUUCUCACUAAGCUUCUUGCUGGCCAGCUUGUUCCCGUUGAUGCUGCUGUGAGUUUUUCUUUGUAACCAGAAAUAAGCAAAAUAGAAUUGUAUAACAAGAUAGUUGCAUCCUGCCAUAACAAAGGCUUUUUUGACAUUAGGGACUAGCUCUUAGCACUUUUCAAGUAGUGUUGGUGCCUACUAUAGUUGGAGGUAAAGUAUUGAGCUCAGUGUUUCUAGAACAAUGAAUUUACCCAUGUUUCCUUAUGGACUAUAUAGUCUUCUUUUAUUUGUGUGACAGUUCUGGCUAAUGAGUUCUUUCCUAAGUUUACGUCCAAGAUUAUAACAGUGACACCUCUAAUUGGAGUCAUUCUGACCACUCUUCUCUGUGCUAGCCCUGUAAGUAAAAUUUCAUAUAACCAGAAAAAUUGAAUUCUUUAGAAGUGAAAGUAGUAUUGACUCUUGUGAAAAGAUUGGACAAGUUUCAGAGGUUUUGAAAACGCAAGGAGGUCAACUUAUACUCCCAGUAGCACUCCUUCAUGCUGCGGCCUUUGCUAUUGGCUAUUGGAUUUCAAAGUUCUCUUUCGGCGAGUCCACUUCCCGCACCAUUUCUAUAGAAUGUGGAAUGCAAGUAAGUUAACUUCUCCUUCACCAACAAAUAUAUUGCCGUUUGUUUGGUAAGAAGUUCCUUUUUUCAAAGAAACUUUUAUUUGUUUGGUUAGAAGUUCCUUUUUCAAGAAAGUUUAUUGUUUUUGGCAAAUUGUAGAGUUCAGCGCUGGGGUUCUUGCUUGCACAAAAGCAUUUCACAAAUCCUCUGGUCGCUGUUCCUUCUGCAGUCAGUGUUGUCUGUAUGGCGGUAAGUUUUCAUAGGCAUUGUUCUUUGAACCAAUGUGUAGUUUAUGUUUAGUGGCAUUGCUGUAAUCAUGGUCCAUUGCAUUAUGCAGCUCGGCGGGAGUGGAUUAGCUGUGUUCUGGAGAAACCAACCGAUUCCGGAAGAUGACAAGGAUGACUUCAAAGAGUGAAAAGCUAAUCUGUGUCUAUGGGAUUGUCUUGUUUGUAGACAUGCUCCCUUGUGUUUGAUUAAAGGACAUAACACAAGAUCUUUAUUAAAAAAAGACAAAACAAGGAUAUCAUUCUCUAUUUUAAGAGGUGAAUAUAGCAAUGAGUAGGAGAUGCUCUUAUGAAAACAUUUAUGCAAGUGAAGGGUUGGUUAAAGAAAAAAAAACUGCAAGAUGACUUUUGAUUGUUUGCUUACAAGUUAAAAGCCCAAAUUUUUAUUUUUUUGAAGUUUAAAAUAUUUUUGUAAAAAAAUCUUGUGUUUUAAGGAUAACACAUUUUUUUGUGAAAGGGAUAAAACAUCUAAUAAAUAAAAAACAAGGAGCAAAAGAGAAAAUAUUUUUUUCUUAAAAAAUGAGAAAAUAAAUUAAAACAAUCGUUUGAACAUUUUUUUAUUUGACACCUUUUUUGUUUUCUUCACUUAACUGCAUUGCUUUAUUCCUGCUUUUAAUAUUAGAAAACAAACGUGACGUAUAAUCAACUGUUACAUACCUUUUUUCACGAGAAAAUAAAUGUGUUUGAUUGCGUGUCAAUUAGUAUCUCGUUUAAGCUUCUAGAUUAAAAAGGGAAAUCAAACGAUGAGAUUAGCAACCCCGCAGGGACGGAGCUACAUUAGGUAAGUAGGGGGCAGUUGCCCCCCAUAAAAUUUUAAAAUUUCAUUUAAAUGCUUAGGAAAAAAUUGAUUGCCCCAGUUGAAAAAUAUUUAUUGCCCCCCCCCCUCCUCCCUCCCAGCAAAAUCAGCUCGCAAAGUUCAAUAUAAAGUUUCCAUUAUUUCUGUUUUGUUAACAUUAUUAUGUUGCCUUAUUUAAUUUGAACAUUAAACCAUUAUUUCCAUUUUUAUAUAAUGAAAAUGAUUUUCUUUCUUCAAGAACAGUUUGCUUGAUAGUUUUACUGAACAGAAAAUUAAUAUAUAUUUAUCUAAUAAGUAAAUAUACUCAAUGACAAUAAAAAUACAAUAUUUUUAUUUUAGUGAUUAUCUGUUUAUUUUAUGAGUGAAAAAUUUUCUUAAAAAAAAUUUCUUUAUGAUUUUGUUCUUUUCAUCAUUUUGAAGUACCAUAAAUUUUAAGGAAGACAUUUUAAAUUUUAAUCAAUACUUUUUAAAAAAAAAAAUUGGUUUUAUAAACUAUAUUCUAUAAUGAAUUUAUAUAGUUGACAAAAUGAAUUUAUUAAAUAAUUAAUAUUUAAUAAUAAUUUUAUUUAUAAUUAUUAUUUGCUCCCGGUAAAUUUUUUUUCUAGCUCCGCCACUGGCAACCCCUACAAACAAGUUACGGUAUACGGAUAUACUGUACUAAAAAUAGGCGAAUAUACUUUCGUACAAAAGCAAAAAGUACGAACUAAAACUACGGAGGGGCAUUUCCGUCAUCUUCUUUAUCAACUUAUUCCGGGUGGAUCCGUUAACAGACUCCGGCACAAGUGGAGUCGCAGACACGUCCGGAUCUUUGUCACUUACGAAGAACCAACACCCUUAAUCUCACGACACGUGUUCCUGACCGUCUUCGAAGUUACUAAUUUUGACACGUAGGACAACCACGUGUGCACUAUAUCCUUCCUCUUUAUAAAAACCGAACACAAAGCCUUAUCCUUUGUCUUCUUCUUCGUUCAGUUUCAGAUCAGAGAGAUUUUGUUCUGUUUUCUUUUUUUUUCGUUUUCGAAAAUUCAGUUUUUCUUCGAAACUAAUGAUCACAAAAAGCAUAAAGAUCUAACGUUCUCGCGUCGUCGCGUAUCUCGGUGACUUUAUUACCGUAUCUAAAGACUUGAGAAUAAAGCAAUCUUUCUCCUCUUUUUUUCUUAUAUAUUUAUAUUUUGGCUCAAGUUCGAAACCAUCGUAAUGCCGUUUCACACGAAGAUCCAACCGAUCGACUUGUCGGAAGAUCUACCGACGAUGAAGCAAAUGCCGAAGUCGCGUUUGAAGCGCCUCUUCGAGCGUCAGUUCAGUAUCAAGAACGCCACCGUCGACGAGUUCGACGCGCCGCCGCCUUCUAGAGGCAACUCCGGAGAUUUCGAGCCUAGUUCCGUCUGUUUAGGGAAGAUGGUUGUGAACUUCAUGGAGGAUAACAAGGAGGAGGAGGAGAAACAGAGGUGCGGUCGUAGCCGGUGUAGCUGCUUUACCGGGAGUGGAACAGAGAGCUCCGGCGAUGAAUCUGAAUGGUCGGAUAAUGUCAAGUGUUCGUCUGGUGAAGCUUGCGUGAUGCUCAAGGUAUGUUCUCUAGGUUUUUGCUUUAUAAAGGGUAAAGCAGAAACCUGAUGGAUCCAGAUUCGUUUUUGUAGAGUUUGGUUCUGUGUACGAGCAUCAGCGAGAGGAAUGUAAUGGCUGAUGUGACCAAGAUUGUGGAGACAAGUAAGCGUAAAGACCAAUCUUGCUUGAAGAACCUGGUCAGUGUGUUGGUGAGGUUAGGUUACGAUGCGGCUAUAUGCAAAUCUCGUUGGGAGAAGACUCCUUCCUAUCCUACAGGGGAGUAUGAGUAUGUGGAUGUGAUCAUGGAAGGCGAAAGACUGUUGAUCGAUAUUGAUUUCAAGUCCAACUUCGAGAUUGCUCGUGCGACCAAGACCUACAAGUCGAUCCUGCAAACUAUUCCUUGUAUCUUUGUAGGCAAAGCGGAUCGGUUGCAGAGGAUCAUCAUGCUUCUAUCUAAAGCGGCAAAGCAGAGUUUGAAGAAGAAAGGACUUCAUGUGCCACCGUGGAGGAGAGCUGAGUAUGUUAAAUCGAAGUGGCUGUCUACUUACGUUCGUGGAGAGGAGAAGCAGGAAACGGUAGAUAUGUUGAGUGCAUCGGUAGGUGGUUCCAUAGUCUUUGGUGUUUGAAGAUUGUGUGGAAGGUUUUGUUAUAAUGACAUAAAAAGCCUCUAAGAGAGGUGUUGUGAGAGAUAGGAGUGUUCUGAGUCCCUUAAUAGUUUUUUUGAUACUUAAGGGUAUGAACUGAUGAAUCACAGUGUCUCCCCUUGUCUUUUUUUUUGGUGUAAGGGAGACUGUGUUCAGACUCUGUGACUCUGUCUUUGCUUUUGUGAGAUUAAUGGAUUAUAAUAAUUAACCAAUAAUUGUUGCACCUAUUGGUUUUAAUAAGACAUUCAGAAUCCUUUGAGAAGAUAAAAUGCUCCUAUGUAUUUGAUUUGCUGAUUUAGUAUGGGAGGCUCAAGAAGAAAUUUAGCUAAUAUGAACUGAGAGAAUAUGAACAUAGAAAGAAGAGGUUAGGUAACAUCAUGAGGCUAAAUACAUCAUUAAUUACCAUGAUGGGUUGUAAUAUUUUAAUCUGGUGCUAGGAGUUUUUCACCUUUUCUUAAAUAGUUCACCAAUAUUUUUCACCUGCAUAUAGUUUCACUGCUACAUGUACACACGGUCUCAAAGUCUUAGCAGAGAAAAAAACAAUGAAAAUUCUUGUCAAAGCUAAUGGCCUUGAAUGGAAAUUGUUUUUUUUAUAGGUUUCACAAAUGAAAGAUGAUAAAGAUUUGUAGAGGAAAAGCUGAAAUGAGAUAAUAUCAAAGCGAAGACAAUUCAAAUGUAAUGGCGAGGCAUAAAGCUGAUAUAGAAGUAAAAAAGAGAGGAAUCUAGAGAAGCACAUCAUCAGAGUUAGUAAAACUGGACCACCUAGCUAACAAUGUGGUCCAUUUCACCUAGUUCACAAUAAUCUUUUAGCUUUAGAUUAACUGAUUAAGUAAUAAAGACAUAAACUUCCACAAAAUAAUACAGAACAGUCACUAUCCUUUAUUCCGUAAGCUUGACUCAACAUAUCUUAAGUCCUUUCAUUGUGAAAACAAUAGAAUGAGGUUUCAAAACCAAGAACAUCACAAAUAGCACAACCAGAUUUAGCCUCAAAAUCAUCAUCAUCAACAUCAUCAGCCACUGGUCUUUUUUCCCGGUCCUACACUGAUCCAGAUCAGAAUGACUUAUCAGAAAGUCUGAUCCAGCUAUAGUUGGUUGCUUUGUGGGGUUAAACAUUACUUUAGUCACUAUUAUAUGUUUUUGAGACACUCAUAAUAUCAUUUGAGAAGAGAAUGAGCUGGCUUCUAUUGAGUUGUUGUUACUACAUUAUUAUUAAAGAAGUAAACCUAUAAUGUCACGUACUUUGCAUAUGUACAGAAUUAUUAAUAGUUUCGUUGACGAAAUUAUGUACUUCCUUGGCGUGGGGAGCAAGAUCCUCGUUGAUCAGUUUAAUACUCAGAUAAUGUGAUUAUAUAAGAACAGAAUACUUGCAAAGUAAAGAUACUAUCAAAGACUUUUUGUUAAUAGCAUUCACAAACACGACAAACAGAAAAGAGGCUAUGGAUUAUACAGGCAACAAACUGGAGAGACAUAACUUAGAAGCUGAGAAACGACUCAAGAGGGUGGAACAAGAUUAUCUCCACACAAGCCAAAAGUACAUAGAAUCAGAUGUAAGUUUUCAAGACAUGUAAGCCCUGAAACAUACCACCCAAAACAUUAAAAAUGCU
rnacentral:lncRNA from 1 species